GAUAUUUGCCUGCCUUGAAGGCAAAUGAAUCAACUCCUCCAUCAAUGGUUGGGCACUGGUUAGCUGUUCCAGUUCCCUUAACUUCAAGGUAUGUCUUGCUCUGAAUUUCAUCAAAGGUGAGUCUCUUUGGUACUCCUUCAGCACCAGCUCCCUGGAAAUACAUGAAAAGUAUCGAACAAUUAAGAUGCUCACCAAGUUGUAGGAUUACACUUUGUAUAUAUCAAGUGUUAAUCAGUCUAGACAUUCUUAGAUCUCAUAUAUCAAGUGUACUCAGACUAAUUAAGUCCUUGAAGUGAGAUUUUCUUUAACGCUUUAAAACUUUAAAGUCUGUAUCUAAUAUUUAAGUCAUUUAAGACUUACCGUAACACACUAACCAUAUAUCAUCAGUGGACUAUGUGGUGGACUGAUUUUCAAAUAAUCCUUGAUUGAAUAGUAUAAUGAAAAUGUUAUGGGAUCAUUAAUGUAAAAAUGAAUUACAAGUUAAAUUAAGAACAACAGGUACUUUAUUAAGUCACAGAGAAUCAAAUGGAUUAUUCCACUUGGAUCUAAGUAGUUUGAUCCUUUAUUUGGCAAGAAAUUGCCACUAAGUUAAACAAAUUCGGAGAUUAUCAAUUACCCAUUCUAAGUCUGAACUAUAAUUAUUUUCUCCAAGAACUCAAUUCAAUAUCAGCAACUAAAACAAUACAGACAUUCACAUCCAAACGCAAAUAUAAAGCAUCGUGGAGAAUCAUAAGAAGAAAGUAAUCGUGGAAGGAAAGUACGAUAAGAACAUACCGAAACGACAAGAGCGGAAGUGGCAAGAGCGAAGCCGGCAAUCUUAGCAGCAUCGGCAAACUUGCGAGAAACGUCUUUGAGAUCGGAGUGAAGAGAGCAGGUGAGUCUAGGUCCGGAAGAUUCAAGGCCAAAGGCUUUAGAAAGGGAUUGAGAAGAUCUGAGGUGAGAGGUGGUAGUUCUUGAAGCCAACUUGGAGGGUUGCAUAAGGGUAGCCGCGGCCGCCUGAACUGAAGCCGCCAUUGUUGUAUCCGGAUUGAGUGUAAGAGAGGAGAAGUGAAAUUUUGUGCGGGGAAUGAUACUGAAACUAUAACGGAGAGUAGAGAGGAUUUAGGAAAUGAAUUAUGUGGUUUUGGUUAGAGUAAGAUAAUGAAUUGGAUAAGAAAAAUCUCAUUGGAUGAUUCCCUCAUCAUUCUUUGCCUCAAUUUUCUUCCACGUGGCAUACAAACUCAUUUUCUACUUGGAUAUACUUUUUAAUUCCUUUUUUGCCUUCAAAUAUUUUAAUCAUAAAUAACAUUUCAGCUUUCAUAUUUUAAAUCUUUUUAUGAACAUUCAAAUUUCAAUUCUGAGUCCAAUCAAUUGUCCACCUACUCAAUUUUGUUAUUUAUUUUAGAAAAAUCACAAUUCUCCUAUGCUCAACUCUAUUGAUGCUAGCUAUAAUAAAAUUACAUAUCAAUGAUGAUCUAAAGUUACAACACAAGUGCUGGUAAAUUUUCAAUUAGAUCAAAUAGGUUAAACUAAUGAAUAAGGAUUAAAUUUAAUAAACUAAUAUUAUAUAGCAUUCUAAAACUCUUUUCGAUCAGUGAAUUUGCUUUAAAACCACGUCAUUCUGAUACCAUGUUUAUUAAUUAACUCAAAAACUUAAAUCGAUGAGUGAAACUAAAUUUAAUGUAUUACUAGCUUUAUCAAGUUGGGUUUUUGUUGCACUUAUCAAAGAAAAAAGAAGUUACAAAAUCUUUUACUUCAGUUUUACAAAGGUAGAGAUGCAAAAAUGAAGAAAUGGGAAGGGAGAGAGCUGUAUAGAGAGCUAGAAGAAACGAGCAACCAUGGCCCAAACAGGGAACACAAGGAGGAGGAUGAUUCCAAUGGUAUUGGAAAUUCCAUGAGUUUGAGUAAGAGAGUUUCUGAAGCCACCAGAUGCACGAAUGUGCUCUUGGAGAAGGUAACAUCCAAUUAUCAAACAUAUCACUACCCCAGCCCAGUGGUCUCUCAAUGUAUGUGCAAAGAACCCUGGUGUUGCCACUAGAAGCAGAAUCAAUGACCCUGGAAUCUCCAACCAAUCUGCAAAAACCAACUUCAAUUCAUUUUUUUUUGUUGUAACGAACUAUUGAAGAUAUGACCGAGUUAAGUAUAGCUCAACUGCCUGUGACAUAUCACUCACAUUGACCAAGAUCAGCAGUGCUUCAAAUUUGAAAAUGUGUUUCUGUAAGUUAAUGUCUCGUUUGGUUAAUAGUUUUUAAAAAUUAAAGCUAUUUUCACCCAUAACUUUCAUACUGGUUUGCAUCUUUUUAAAGUAAAAGAGUUAAUUCUUAGUCAAAUUUUAAAAACAAUUUUUCUUUUUUUUUUUUUUACUUUUCAAAACUUGGCUUGAUUUUUAAAAACAUUGGUACAAAGUAGAAAGUAAAUGUUUAGAAAGAGAACGAGUGUUUAUAGGCUUAAUCUUAAAAAAGAAAAGAAAAAAAACCAAAUGAUUAUCAAACAUGAUCUCUUAGAUCAUAAUAGGAGAGAUUACAAGUCAAAAGAGGCAAAAUGAUCAAAAGUUUAGAGGGAGGAAAAACAUUUUUAAACCUGAAGCUUUUUCUUGCAUUAUUAUGUCAAGUAUCAAAGCCACGUUCUCUAUCAAGCACUCGCUACGCCGAGUUUAAAUAAUUCAUCAUGUCACCUCAACAAAUACAAGGUUGUACUGAUUGACAAAUGCCUUUUUGUAGUUAAUGAUUGAAAUGUAUUAUAAAUUCAAAACAACCUUUCAUCAUACACAGCGACAGGAUACCGAUCGACAAGAAAAGUGGUGAAAAAGUAAACAAAUAACCAUGGUGCUUACCUGGGAAAUGUCGCGGAAAGAAGAGCCUCAAUACCACUGCAACGAAGGCAAUCCAUUUCCCAGCAUCCCCUCUUAAGAAAAUCAAGAAUAAACACAAUAUUAGUUAACAUUGAAAUACCUUUGGAUAAAGCUUAAAAAUUAAACCAACAAGGAACACAGAGUGAGUAUCACCUCAGUAAGUUAAAAAUCCCUUGAGGAAGACUGAAGAAAAUGUAAGGGACAAGAAGUGAAGUAAGCAUAUUUGUUCUCCAGUUCGUACGAUCCAAAAUCAACAGGUAACUGCAUAAUGAUGUUAAAUUUUAGAAUGUCAGAAACAAAACAAAAGCCCUUAUAUUAGAAAUAAAGCACCCACAUGGCAGCAAAGGAAGCAAGCCAUUUAAAAAAGGAAGUGCCAAGACCCUUUCCACCGAGCUUGGUGGCAUGUUCAAGAAGCCUAGUGGCUGCAAUUUUAAGCUCAUGGAUAUCAGAAUUAAUCAACUCCUCCAUUAGAGGAUCACUAUUGAGAGCCAAAUACGCCAUCCUCCCCAUUUUUGCUUCUGGGUCUACAAGGAAACGAAAAAUGAGAAAGCUUUGGGAAACAAGAGCCUGUGCGGCAUUUAUACAAACACCUGGAAUGCAUUUUUAUAGUUCAAAAAAUCGAGAAGAACUAGGUAAUAGGAAAAUGUAACGGGGAUUGGUCAGGCUCCUUGUUUUCAGCAGAGUUAGUGUUAGAGAAUGAAAAAAAAAAGGGUAUGAAGUUUCGGAUCAGAUUAGUUUUGCGUUUGACUGUCUCACCCAAAUUCUCAGCUUACUUGGUCCAUCUCCUAUCCUAUAUUCAUAUCCUUACUUCUAAUUUUUCCUUUUCAUUGGCCAUUUAAUUCUCCAUGAGCUCUAUCUUUAGUAUUUCAUGCAUUUAAUUCUUUCCCUCAUCUUCAAAAAGUGUAAUAAGUUUUAAUUUGCGUGUAAUCUCUAUCUGAUUUAUGAACUUCAAAAGGUAUCUUCAGUCUUCAUCAAAUUCUUACUAUCUCAUAUUUUUCAAAAUUUACAUAUCUUAAUUUUCACGUCUUAUUAGACUUUAUAUUCUUUUUUUAUAUCUAAUCAAUCUAUUAAUUUUAAAAUUUAAAAAUAUGACUUAAGCCAAAGUCUAGUUUUCUUUUCCACAAUUUUAUUUUCACUUUUCUCGUAUUAGUUCUUUUAUUAAAAAAAAUGGAUAAUUUGUUUCUUUUAUUUUAGAUAAUAAUCGAGUGUUUUUUUUUUCAAAUAACAAACAUACAUGAAUAUAGAAUCAAAGUAGAAGUAAUAAUUGAAUCCACUAUUAUUCAAGAUAAUAAAAUACUUAAAAGAAAUAAUUGAUAUUAUAUCUUAUACAAAUGCAUCUAAUACAUCCCUCGUUUGGUUUGGUUCGGUUCCGUUUCUUGAACCAAUAAUUUUCAGUUUUCUUUAAAUACUAUUCAAUAUGUCCAAUUUUACAUAAAAAAGUAGAACCAAAUCAAUGAGUUAGUUUUCAAAAUUUUGGUCGAUUUUUGUUGCACCCUUACUUUUAAGUUUAAUUUUUCUCGUCUCUAAAUUUCUAAAUGUUGUAUUCUUACUUAAUUUUAUUUUUUUAAAAAAAAACCUCUGUCUAUUAAAGAAUCUAACAUUAAAAUUAAUUAAAAAUGGUUUAACCAAAACUUAAACCUUACUUAAAAGUGUGGUUUUUUCCCUUUGCGAAAAAAGGUAUAGUAUUUAAGCCAACAAUUUGUUGAUCUUUGAUUUAAAUGGCUAUUUAUUGUUCAUAUAUAUAUUUAUUAUUAAAUGGAAAUUAUAAAAUAUGAUCCUCAUUAUUAACCUAUGUGAUACGAUUUCUUAAGAGAUGACAUAAAAGAAUACAAUAUAUGUGAAAUUAAAUUAAUUACAUCUUCCAAAAAAAGUAAAUCAAUUAAUUAUUAUAUUGAGGUAGUUGUAUUAGGGUUUGAGUUGAGUGAAAUUCACUCCUUCAUAAACAAUUCUGACUACAUUUACUAUUAUGAUUCACUACUCCAAUCAAUAUCCUAAUUCAAUUAUCAACUCCAAUACUUUUCUUUAUCAAAAUGUAUAAUACUCUUUGUCUUUUUUUCAAAAAAAACAAAUAUUAUAUUUAUAAUGGUUUCAAGAUAAUAUAUUAUUUAGAAACUUUUUUUAAUAGAAAGAUCAAAAACUAAUUCAUAAGUUAUAAACAAGAAAAUUACUUCUAACAUUAUAUAGUGAUAAAUACUAAUUUUUACUACUAACGUGAGUGUGUCGUUAUUUUUUAAUUCUACUUUUAAAAAUAGAUUGACAAUUUUUCUAUCUUGUGAAAAUUUCUUUAUUAUUUAUGUUAUUGAGGUUUGUUUCAUUCUUCUUUUUAUAUUUUUGAAUUUCAAACUUCAAAUUUUAGCGGUAUGCUUUCAAUGAAUCUUUAAAUUAGUCCACACAUAUAGUUAGUUUAUAGAUUUUUUUUUUCAAAACAAAAUGGUAUCUACUAACAUUUUCUUUAUAAUUUAUAAAAACAUAUUCGCAUAUUAUUUUUUCACGAACAUUAUUAUUAUUAUUAUUUAACCAAUUACGAUAAAAAUAACUCUAAAUGAUAAAAUGUAAGCUUUGUUGCAGAGUAUGUUAACAGUUCUCAUAUUAAUUAUUUUGACAUCAUUGGAGAAGAGAAUAAAACUGUUUGAGAUGAGAGAGUAAACAUUCUUAAUAACUAAAAAGAAACUAAAAGAAUAGAGGGGAAGAAUUCAAAAUACAGAAAGCAAAUUGGAUAUAAUUUUGAGGAUUGUAGGUAGAAGGUAAGUAUGAAGCCUUUAAGCUUUAGAACAUGAAAGGAUGGAAUAAAAUGUGUAUAAAAAUGAAGAAGAAACAAAAAGGCAAAGAAAAAAGAAAAGAUGAAAAGAAACAUAAUGAUGAAGAGGAGGGUAGAAGAAACAAGAAGGGGUAGAAAGUUGAUAGGCUUUGUUUGACUCAAAAUGCUUAAUCAUUAACCAAAAUAAAAUUAAAAAUACAUAUUUAUUUACUUACUUUAGGGAGAGAGGAAUGAAUGAAUGUAAGAAUGCAUGCAAUUCAAUUAUUAGAGCCUCUAUUUCAUGAUUUGCUUUUUACACCUAAAUUUGAAUCUCUUCUUCAAAAGUCGCGCCGCCUUUAAAGACCUUUCUCUACAUUCCUUUACAUAUUACAUAUCACUACCAACUCUUCCUAACCAUUUUAGUUUCAUUUCUUUUAACAUUCUUCUCCUUCCUUUACUUACUACAUACAUACAUAUAUAUAUAUAUUAAUCUAGAUGUCAAUGGAUGGAUGAUUGAUGGUUUAUAUAAAGCUUUACCCAAGUUCAAAAGUCAAUUAAUAAUCACCAAGGCCAACAACUUUUACUAAUGAACUACCACCUUUUCUUUCAACUGUACUUUUUUUUAAAAGGAAAAUAAUUGUAAUCAUAUUUCCCACUAAAACAAUCAAUUGAAAUAUUAAAAGUACUAUUUGCUUUAAAAUUUAAGUACCAAAUCCAACCGGGCAUGAAAGGAUGAAACUUGACUACCUUGUUUCAAAUUGAUAAUGAUAUCAUUUAAUUUUGAUCCUAUUAUUUAUGAUUCUUCAAUAUUAGAAUCUAAACAAAAAUAGGGGAUAAUUGAUUGCAAAUUGCAAUGUGCAAUUAAUUAAGAACUAAUUGAUUCACAAAUAAAAAUGAGAGAGGCCACACGUAUCUCAUUCGUCCGUUUCAUACUAACUUAAAUUAACCUACACUACCCAUUGCUCGAAAAGGCGUGCCACAAUCAAAACGGUGCGUGGUAGCAGCAACAAUUUGAUUUUACCCAAAUCACAAAAUUUGUAAAAUUACAACUCCCAAAUUUCUUUUAACCCCAAAAAGAAGAAAGAAAGAAAGAAAAGGAAAGAAAGGGAAAGGGAAAGGGUUUAGGGUAAGGGUAAGGGUAAGGGUAAGGGAGGAAGUAAGCCUGCGUGGCAUCCACUGUUAACUUCCGUACAAUGAGCAAUUGGACCCACUCAAGCACAGAGGAAAGCUGACCUGUUAUCGUUUCUAUGGCUGAUGAUGGUGGUGGUGCUGGUGCUGGUGCUGGUGGUUUCGUCCUCUUCGGCCAUCCAGGACCGCUGAUUCAUGUGAAUCACAUACCUGGGUUUUGAACUUACAUCCCAACCGUCUGAUCAACGACGCUCGCCAUCUUCCUCCAUUACCUUGUGGGCUCCCGGCCUUAUCGAUCUUCUCGAUCACUUUCUUCAUCGUUGAGCACUCUCUUUCAAGCUGAUGCACCCGCGUCCUCAUACUAUCCAUAUCUAACCGAAGCAUCUGAUUCUCUCUCACCGUCUCUCUCCACGUGCCAUUCUCGUGCACUAUUGCUCCCGCCGGGAUUUCCUCCUCCUCCUCCUCCAAUUCCUCUCCCACUCCCCGUUCCACAUCCUCCGUUUCACGACGGGAUACGCCUGAGAAUCUUCCGGUAUCCGCCGGUACUGUCUCCGCAGCCAUGAGUGUUCCAGCGAUGGCGUGACGGAGCUGCAGCUGUUCGAAGAACAACACCUGCACUACUGCUCGGAGUGGAAGACGGUCGUUCUGAGCAGCGUGAGUGCAUGCCUCUAGUGUCAGCUUUUGGCAGUCCAUUACUCCACAUAUCUUCUCGCGUUCUGCUUCGGAGAUCCAUGGAUGGGCCUAUCAAAAAGGAUUUUCAAAAUUAAUUUACUAAUGACGAAUUGCAGAGUGAAAAUUAGGAGAUUGUUUUUUGCGAACCUUGAGGUACACAUCGACGGCUCGGUAAACACCGUCAUCGAAGAGUCUAGCCUGUUCAGGGAGAGAAAUUGCGAGGUUGUAGAAUCUUUCCGCCUUCAGAUUGCCGUCUGAGGCAAUCUCCGCGAGAUAUCCAUCUAUCAACUUACCGACGAGCAUUAACGCUGGCGAUCUGGUACCAUCAUCCUCGACUACAGCUUGAUUAACUUCAGCUACCUCUGCAUUUUUCUCUUCGAGUCCCUCUAAGAAGUAAGAUAAGAUCCUCUCUGCACAAUCAACGUCAUAUAAGGUCUCGUUCAGAUACGAAUAGCUCGGAAUUAGAAGAUCGUCCAGUGUUGCUUGUUCCAGUUGCGAUCCUAUUUUCUUCUCUAAAGCAGCUUUGCAAACUUCCGAAGCAUUCAAUAUAUUGGCCGUCCGCAGUAGUCCGAAGAGGAACCUUGUUGCGGUUGGAGUUUUUGAGCUUUUCUCCAAUGGAAGAUUACUGAUUAUGGUCUCUAACAACUCCUUUUGAUCAGUCUCCGUAGGCAUACUAGAGGAAGAGGCAGAUGGUAACGAUGGCUUCCGGUUGGACCUGGAUAUACCUGGAAUAUAUUUCUUAGCGUAGUUCAUUAAACAGCUCUCAAUAAUCUCCGAGCUCACAUCUCGAUCUCUCAUGGAGAAAAUUAACCGCUUAAACAGAGGCAGACUGAGCUGGGCGAGAUCCUCAAACCAUGACCCUCCCUUGCUUCCUCUACCACCGCUCUUCUUUCGCCCUCCAGUUUCAAUUCCGUUCCAAAGCAUCUGCUUCGAUUGAUCUUGAGCGCUAUUGGCUCCAUCGCUGACUGGCCAUCCAAACAAAGCUGGAUCGGCGGAUGGCGCUUUCGAAGCGAUCGAAUCGAUACAUCUCUGCGUAAUGCUUAAGGUCUCGGCCAGAGGCAUUACAGGCUCACAAGAUUUCAGCGUUUUAAUUGAUUCUUUGAUGCUUCUGAGUACAGUUUGGGAGAGAUAUUUUUCGGUUUUUGAGAUUAGGUUUUCUACGCUGUACUCUUCCGUCAUUUCCAGAAACUCUCCGGCGCAGCGGAGAGGAGCGACAUUGGAAGAGUUGAGGUCGAUCUUCACGCCGUAGCAGAAUUUAGAUGCCAUUUCGAAAAUAUCAGAACCGCCGGGGAAAUCAGAGAGCACUAUAUGGCAGUGAUCUUCCUCACCUUCAUCAUCUUCUUCUUCGUCUUCGUCUUCUUCUUCCUGUUGCUCUGCUUCAGCGGUUUUAUUUUGAUUCUCUCUGGUAGGAGUAGAGCAAUUUGCUUCUUGCUCGGUUAUCAAAUUGUGAAGCUUCCGGCUCUUUGACAUUAGAGGAAACUGAAAAUUUACAAACUAUUAGCCCAUAACUCAAGAGGAACAAUCCGACACAACCAAAUCAACCAAGGACAGAAAAGUAGUAGUCAAACAAAAUUAGCAACAAGAUUCAGGAGGCGACCUUAUGGAGAUGGAAAGCCAUAUCCUCCACUUCGAUGACAAUGUCGCUCGGUAAACCAGUGGUGCAGAACCUGUGAAAACAAAACCCAGAAAAGAAGUGUUGACAUGAGAGCUUAAACCAAAGGUCUAAAAAUGGGGAAGACAUAAUAACUCAGAACUCACCAAGCUUGCCUUUUGGAGCUGGGGUUCUCUGCAGGUGCAGCUUGUAUUUCAGUAGCCAUUUUCUGUACACUGCCACACCUCGAAGAAGAAUCAGUCCCUGAAACUAGAAACCCAGAUACAUUUGUUGCACAGAAAUCUGUGGGGGGGUUUGUUUAGAAGAUAAACACAAAGAAACAAACGAACAAAUGGAAAGAAGUGAGAUCCUUUUAGGAGUGUUUUAGUAUGGGUGAAAUGGACUUGACUUAGGAUCAAGGAAGAAGAAGAUAAAAAGAAAAACAAGGAGUGAUGGGGGGCAGAAAAAUGUUUGGUUGUGCUUUAGCUGCUUGCGAUUUCCUUUCUUCAGAAGAAUAAAUCUGACAAUGGGGGGAGGAGCAUCAUCAAAAGGCGAAGAAUGCUCAAUGGGAAUUAAAAAGGGUAAUUAAAAAAAGAAAGAAAGAAAGAAAAACUCUUUUCUUCUCAGAUCCGACAAAUGGGGUUUCAACAAAAUUUCUUUUUUCUUCGUUGCUCUCUUGGUCUACGAAUCAGGUCAGAAUCUCACCCACUCCAAUUUUUAAAAACUUCCAUCAAAUUAAAUUCAUUCAAUUCUUUUCUUUCUUUCUUCAUCCUCAAAUAAUCUGAAUUUUGGAUAUUUUCUAACUUCUUUCUAUUCUCAUAAAAAAAAAAAAAAAAAAAAAAGAGUUUCUUGCUUUGCUAGGACCCUAAUUUCCAGACCGUCGGUUACAUUUUAUUUUGUUUUUUAAUCAUUUCAGCUUUGUUGUUUAUUUAUUUAUUAACACAAAAGUUUUAGUUUCUAUAUUUCAAAUAGAAUAUCCCUAUAUUAUUACCCAUUCUUUUCUUUUCUUUCUUUAUUUAUUAGUACAUAUGAAUUAUAUUUUUGGAGAAGCAUAUAAUAUGCUUAGCAUAUGAUUUUACAAAACAUUUACUAUUCAAAAAUUGUACGUAGUUUACAUUCAAGCUCCUAAUAUUUAGUAAUUAACUAUACUUUCAUUUUUUGGUUUAGAAAUACAUCAUUUAACACAAAUUAAGAAACAUAAAUACAACUCUAUUUUAUCUUAGUUUUUAGAUUAUAUACCGAGAAGAAAACUCUUGAAUUAUUUAUAAAUUUAAUUUUGUUUUAGUUAUUAAUACAUACUUUAGCUAAGCUAUUCAUAAAUUGGUUACUUUCAUAAUUUAUGACAUUAUAAAUUGUACUUUUAAAAAAUAUAAAUUAGAACUGUUUCUUCAAAAGUGAGUGAGGAGUAAUUACUUAGAAUACCAAAAAAAGAAACUCUUUUAUUUCCAUUAAACCAAAUUGUCAUUAACUUUUCGUAAUGACUGGAUCUAAUAAAAUCUUAUUAGAAAGUUUCUUACCCAAAAUUUCAUUAUAUUAUAAUUAUUAAAAAGAUUCCAUUCUUCAAUUUCAGAAGAAGAAUUUACAUUUGGGAGAAAAAGAUCAAGCUUGGAUUCUGAGGUUCGUUUACUUGUAAAUUGCAAUCUUAUCUCUUUCGUCUAUUUUUGUGAAAAUUAAAUUUUAUCAGAGUAUGAUAUAAACUUUAGACACCACCAUCUCCAAUACUACUAAAUGCAUUGAGUUGAGUUAGAAUUAGAUAGGUAAAAAAUUAUAUUUAAAACAUUAACAUAUAUAUAAACAUAGCAAAUAUAGGAAAGUUCUCAUAGAAUUGACAAGUUUUGCUAUAUUAUCCACCUACUCUGCCUGUGCCGCUUCAACAAGCUCAAUCUUUGUUUUAUAAAAUGAGAUGGGAGUUUGGGUGAAUGAUCUCUCCUCCUCCUCCUGAUACGUUGUUCUAUAGAAAAGGGAAUUAGAUAGCUUUUUUCUAAAAUAGGUUUGAUAAGUAAAGAAAAAUGGAUAAAGAAUCUUUGGGACAGCUCGUAUGAGUUAUGAAUGGGCCUAAAGUGUAAGGGUGACCUCAGCAGGAGGGAAUUACUCAUAAUAAUGGCAAGCCUACCCAAAUAAGAUGAGAUGAGACCUUAGGGCAAUUCACCAAUAUAAUGGGAAUGGGAAUGAUGUGGGGUCAUCCAUAUGUAUUUUGUGAACCCUUUAUGUAUCCAAAUAUUUUGGAUUUCAAUCUCAUUUUCUCUCCCAAAAAUACUUUCUUCUACUUUUUAAUUUUUCAUUAUAAGUUACAAAAUAGAGAGAUUAUGUUAUUUGUUGAGAUAUAAAAAAGAAAAUUAGACCAAUAAUGGAGGUGUAAUGUAUUGGUAAGCAAUGAUGUGGAUGUUAGAGAAAAUGAAAAGAAAGGCGCAUGGGGGUAUUAAUUACUAUGUUGAUUAAGGGGGCAUAUGUAUUAUUAUUAAUCAUAAAAUAGUAGAAACCAUAUGGGAAAUACAUAAUUAUGCAAUGAUUUCAACUUUAACAUUAUAAAAUUGUAAAGAAGAUUAGAUUAUAUUUUGGUAGACAGACAAACCCCACUUACUUCUAAAAGUGAAUCUUUUCCCUUAAUUAUUUUCCCUUUAUUUUGGGGUUGGAAAAUCUUGAUUCAAUUAAAAUAUGUAUAUACAAAAAAGAAAGAAGAUUGCAGGAAUGGUAAGAAGGGAAUGAAGUAAUAAUUGAAACACAUGGUUUGGAUUUUGGAUAUGAAAUUAUAAUAAGUCUCUAAGAUGAGAAGGAAGACAAACAAAGACAAUGUAAUGCCAAAUCUUUUUUUUUUUUUAGUUAAGAAUAAUCUAGUAGGUUUUUCUAGGUUUGUCUUUCACCCCCCAUGUUAAUCUUCAAUCUAAUUAUUUGUUUAAGGGAAUAAUCAACUUAUAUUAUCAAAUUAUAAAUGUUUUUCUCUACUUAUUAAUUAACAUAAUUAUAUUUGCCUAAUUAACCAUGCUAUUUUGAAUUUAUGUACUAAGUAGAUAGGACAAUGAAUUUUAAGAUAUCUCGAAUAUUUUUAUGCAUUUUACUUCUUCUUUUAACUAAAAUCGUAAAGAUGAGAUCAAGCCUUAAAUCUCAUGUUUUUAACAACAUUGGUUCACAAGUGUUCUAAUUUAUUUAAAAGGGUUUAUUAAUUUAUUACUUAAAGUUUUGUAUUCCUUAUUUUUAUGAAUAAUUUGAUAGAAUUGAAAGUUGGAAUGUUGAGUGGUAAAUAAGUAUCCUAACUCCGACGUUAGUGGUAAUUUAAAAAUGUGAAGUGGGCAAAGCACUUUUGAAAACAGGAGGAGGGGGAAAGGAAACGUAAACGUCCAAAGAGGCACAAACCCCCAAGAAAUUCAGGUAAGUUAUGGCCAUUGAGGGGCACAAAAUCCACAAAAAUACACAUUCUUUCAUUACUUUAAUUUAUUUAUUUAUUCAUACAAACCCACACUCAUUUACUUUAUUUAUUUCAUACCUAAGAAUUAACCACGUAGCUCAACAUAUAUAAUCUUAUAUUUCAUAUUCAAAAUGCUUUAAUUUCAAAUAUACAUAUAAAUAUUAUUAUUGUUGUUGUUGAUAAGCUUUGCUUUAACUGAAAUACCUCCUUUUCUUUUUGGUAUCGACUUUUGAUAUAUAUAUAAAAAAAAAGAUUUAGAAAUGAGAGGAGAGAUUAAUGAAGAGUAUAUAGAUAUGGAUGAAAAAGUGUAUUUUGUUGGUAGUUUCUAGGAAUGUAUGAGGCAAAUUAAACAAAGUUUAAUGGAUUAUUUGAAGUAAUGUGAUAGAGAUAAAAGGGGGCAGGGCAUUAAAGUGAAGGGGCAGUGCACCCCCAUCUAUAGAUGUUGGGGAGGGUGUUGCCCACAUACAUCUUAAGGGCUUUUUGUGGGUUGCUACUUGCUGGAUUAACUGACCACAUGGCUCCCAAGAAACUCUCUCCAUAUUCUUUGCUGCCUUUGCUUGCAAUCCACAGCUCAACAUUAUACACCAACAACACAUACAUUAUUAUUGAAUUUUAAAAUAAAACAAGAAUAGUUUUAAGUUAAUUCGAUGAUCAUUUUUGUUUCCGAGUUCUUAAGAAUUUGUGCAUUUAUUUCUAAACCUCACAAAAGUGGGUCAAUAAUAUAAUAUUUUGUGUUUUUUUUUUUUAUAAAAAAAAGUUUUUAUUAAUUAUGAACAAACACACCCCAACCCACAAUACCCACAGUCACCCACAUUUUCAAUCCCAACCCCCACCUUCAUCUUUAGCCCAGCCCACAUCUCUUCUCAAGAAUGGUUUAUCAAAUUGUUGGAAGCUCUGCACAAGUGAUUGUCAAGAGUCUCAAUAAUCCUAUUUCUCUCAGUAUCCUUCUAUUAUGGUCGAUUUGGAUGCCAAAGAGGUGAUGAACUGCUUCUCACCCUUUAUUGAGUUAAAUAAUACAUUAAAUAAGAUUAAAUAUAUGUAAAACUAGGUAUUGUUGUCAUUAGUGAGUGUAUUAUAAGUUUCUUGUCAUGCCUAAACCAAUUAUCUCAAUUGAACCAAAUUGGACUCAUUUUUUUCUUCUUUUCAGAUGUUUAAUUGUGAAUUUGUUUGCUCAUAAGGUUAACUUUUGGGUAAUGAAUUAACUAAGCAAACUGCCUAAUCCAAAGUGAAAAAGUCGAAUGAAAAGAUUUGAAUGACUAAACUUAUCUCGUUAUGAACUCCCAAAACGUCAUUCCCUCACAUUUGUAAUUCUCCAAUGGCUCGCUUUGCUCCUUCAAAUUCCAUCGCUCUCCACCGAAUUCCUCUCUGUUUUCGUAUCCCUCACCCUCUCCUUCAACCCUCCGCCGCCCGCUUUCCAUCUUCCCCCCGCCGAUUUCCUCCAUUAGCCUGCCAAACGCUUCCCGAAUCGCACGACACCACCUCCGCUCCGGUAUGCUUCAAUCUCUUCUCUUCUUAUUGUUUUUGCUUAAUUUUCUUCAAUUAUUGAGUCAACCAUAUUAGCCCUAAUUCCCUGAAAUCGAAACCAAUUCAAUUUUAUUCUCGCUUUCAGGAAAAAUCGUCGAACGGUCCUGAAUCACCCGGUGACACCACUGGCCAAGCCGCUAGCUCUUCAAGUAAUCAGGGUUUUCCUGAGUUUCCCAAUAAAGAUAUCAAUAGACGAGUUGCUAUAGUUUCCACGGUUUCAGCACUGGCACUUUUCUCGUCAAGUCGAUUGGAUUUUGGUGUUUCUUUGAAGGACUUAGCUGCUGCGGCUUUGCCUUAUGAAGAGGUUUGGAAAUUUGGAAUCUAAUAGUUCUAGCAAUCUCUUUGUUUUACAUGAUUAUGAUUUCACAUUCUUCAAGUAAUUAGAGCUCAUGAUGAAGAUUCAUAUGAUGAUUCAGGCUCUUUCAAAUGGGAAGCCCACUGUUGUGGAGUUCUAUGCAGAUUGGUGUGAAGUUUGUAGGGAAUUGGCUCCAGAUGUAUACAAAGUUGAGCAACAGUUCAAGUAAUACUUUAUGGAAAUGCUUGUUUACAAGAAUUUUUUGUUGUUUGAAUUUAAGGAAGGUAAAUAGAUCUUUGUUCUUCCAGGGACCGUGUGAAUUUUGUAAUGCUUAAUGUUGAUAAUACAAAGUGGGAGCAGGAGCUUGAUGAGUUUGGUGUUGAGGGUAUUCCACAUUUUGCUUUUUUAGACAAACAGGGGAAUGAAGAGGGCAAUGUAGUUGGUCGACUUCCAAGACAAUAUCUGCUGGAGAAUGUAGACGCUCUUGCUCGUGGAGAAGCAUCGAUACCUCAUGCUCGUGUUGUGGGACAAUUUUCAAGUGCUGAAGCAAGGAAAGUGCACCAAGUUUCUGAUCCAAGAAGUCAUGGGUAGAUUCUCUUCCUUUCUUUGAAGCAUUAGGUCAACAAGUUGCCAAUUCAAAUACUCUUUGAUAGGUAUUCCAGAUAUAGUUAGUCCAUCUUAUACCAUAUAUCCAAUUGUUUAUUGUACUAUGGACAUAACUUCUUCUCUUGAUAGUAAAUAAGUCUUUAUUUCUUCUCUUGAUUGUAAAUAUCUGCUUUUUUAUGUUAACUACUGGUGGGUUUAAUGAUUAAAAGAACAAGUAACCAGGUUGAAUCCUUCAUAUUUUUGUGGUGUUCUGCAAUCUUUAUUUACUCAAUUAUGAUAAUCUCAUUACUUUUACUUUUGUACAUGUUUUGGAAAAAUGAAACAAGUAAUACAAGAAUUGUAAUCGAUCAGAUAAGCCGAUCCCAUGGCUUGGAUCUGAACUUCAUGUGAAGAAAAUGUCCUAUCGCUUGGCAUGUGGCAUUCCCUUAAGACGAGUGAAGAAUGCUUCACAUUUUUUGGAAAAUGGCAUUGGCAUCUACAAUUCUAUCAAUAAGGAGGUUAAAAACAAUGAUGACACAAUAUAAGAUAUUCCGUAGGGUACACAAAUAAUGGUGAAAUGUAAAAGGUUAAAUGUCCUACAAAAGAUCUUCCUCUUCUUCUUCUUCUUCUCUUUUCACCGUGCUACAUUACCCAAUAAACUAUUUGUUGAAGGGGAGCUUUGUUCACUUAACCAAGGAUCCUGUAUUGAAACUGGGGAGCUAUCCAUAACCUCCUCCACAGGAGGUAGAUAGUCCUUAUUAUGGUUGUUCUCCGGCGGGAUUAUCAAUCUCUGGCUUCCCAAUCCUGCAAGCAGCCCGGCCUUCUUAAUUGUUAUGCCACUUAUGGAUCUCUCGCUUAUGCUACGAGGAGAUGAACAAGCUGAUCCUGCAGAUGAUGCUCCACAAAAAUGCUCCUCCAUUGAUGUCCAUCCACUGCGUCUGAUGCUUUCCAAUUCCUCUGCUACUUCUGUCAUUGAAGGUCUCAUGUCGCUGUGGAAAGCAAGGCAUCUGAAUGCAAGCUCAGCCACCUUGUGAAUAGAGUAGAGGGUCCAAGCAUCUCUAUGUGGCUCGAGGAAAGGAUCAAUUAGUUCAUCCACAGAGUUUCUCCCAAUCCUAUCAAUGGCAAGUGCAGCUAAGUUUACUUCACUUUGGGGACGAGUGAAAUCAACCACUUUCAAUGCUGUUAUUAUCUCUACUAGGACUACUCCAAAACUAUAUACGUCACUUUUGUCUGAAAGAUAAAAAUUUUGAUGGUAUUGUGGAUCAACGUAGCCUGGGGUUCCUUGGGGAGCUGUUGAGACGUGCGAUAUUUCUGUCAUACCAAGUCGAGAGAGACCAAAAUCUGCAACUUUUGAUUUGAAACCAUGAUCCAGGAGUAUAUUGCUCGAUUUGAUGUCUCUGUGAUAUAUUGGUGGGUGCACAGAAGAAUGAAGGUAUGCUAUUGCACGAGAAGUCUCGGCUGCUAUAGUGAGCCGUGUUGUCCACGGGAGUCCAUUUCCACGCUCUCUCUGGAGAUGUUGAGAGAGAGUUCCAUUGGGCAUAAACUCGUAUACAAGGAUCUGUUGGCCCUCCUCGAUGCAGCAGCCAAGUAAGCGGACCAGAUUUGGGUGGCUCACCGAGGAAAGGAGUUUUAUCUCAUUCAUAACCUGGUCAAUGCUGUUGUGGUCUCUGUAUUUGAUCCUUUUUACAGCAACCCACUCAUCCUCGUGAAGCCUUCCGGCAUAGACUGUACCAAAGGCUCCAGUUCCCAGACGUUGUUUCUCAGAGAAGCCAUUAGUGGCUCUUUCUAUUUCUUUGUAGGGGUAUAAAGUAACACUGGAAUUUCCGGCAGCCUCACUUAGAAGCCGCUUUGCACUCAUCUGACCUUUCAGACACAUUGAGCGGCGUCGGAUGCAGUAACAGAUAAGGGUCAAGACAGCCAUUAGAAACGCCCCUACAAUGACACCUGAGAUUAUAACUGUGUUAGGUUAGAACCAUAGUUAGCCAAUUGACGUGUUCCUUCAUAAUAAAUCCUUAUCAAUUGAUGGACACCAUAUUAUUUACAUUUAAAUGAAAUACGGUCCAGUUACCUGCAAUUAGUGCAGCGACUUUGCUUUCGCCACCACAUCGUCCAGUUAUGUAUGUUGGAGGGUUGCAUUUGUGAGAAACUGUAGUAAUUGCCAAGGAGCCCAGCAUAACAAAUUAAUAAAAUAAGCAACAGACAUAAGCAGCUUGACAAAUAAUGAAUUGAACACAAAAGUGAACAAUGCUUUAUGUUCGAACACUUGCAAUAUUCAAGUAUUUGAUUCUCUGUUUCAAAAGAAAAAAAUUGUUCAUUUAUUGACUGUCCUGGAAAAUUAAUUAGAACAAGAGCAACGGAUAGGGAAAUAUAUAAUGAAUAGACGCCAUGGCAUGUUAUGACAACUGGAGAACGUCCCAAAAAAAAAAAAAAGAAAAGUCUUACACUCCUAGUCGUAACUGUACCGCUGCUUGUGGUAGAGAAAUGACUCAAAGCUCUCUCUCUCUCUCACCCCCACAAGGUCUAAACACCUCAAUGACUUCGCAGUUUUACUCUAAAACAAUGUUCCAUGGUAUCUAUCUCUCUUUGACUUGUAAAAUUAUCAGAAGCCUAGAGAGUAGGAACCUCGUUUUAAAACUCUAAGUUGGCAACAUUUAUGGCGCAUAUUAUGAGCUAUAGUUAUAAACAACCCAAAUUAAAAUCCAUUGAUGUUGCGUUCUCUCUUUGACCAAUUCUAGAUCAUUCAGACACUUUGAAAAAUUAGCAUCACACUUCUCUUCCUCUCUCCCUCUCUCCCUCCCUUUAAUAUUAUUAUUAUGGGCACAUGGCAUUCGGUUUUCACACCUAAAUGAAUUUUCUGACUUUUCACACUCAAGUCAUAUCCACCUCAAGAACCAAUAUGACAUAUAGCCAAACUUUCAGAAAUGUACAGAAUUGACUUUCCCAUUAACCAACAUUAUUUUAAAGACGUCUCAAAAUGAAAAAGACAUUUUAAAAAUUCUAAACUGAAUAGGAAAAAAUUGUAAUUUUGAAAUAUUUAAUCCAACAAGCUCCCCCCCCCCCCCCCCCCAAAAAAAAAAAAAAAAAAAAAACAGAGAGAGAGAAAGAAAAAAGGGAAAAAGCCGAACGAACAGCCUUUGAUUAUUUUUUCUACCCAUUUGGAACUAUUUAAUCUUUCGGAAAUAUAUAGAAAAAAAAGUCCUAUUUCUAAUUUUAGCAAGGUUUUACAGAAUUUAACCACCAUUUUUGCCACCGUCGGACAAAUCAAAUGUAGACGGGGAAGCAAGCAAAUGGUUAAUUAGCCUUUCCCCUCGACAAGAAUGAGCAUCAUUGACUAGAAAGGACAAGGUGUCGACCUCUAAUUGGCUAACAUGUGCCGUUUCUUGUCGUGUAGUUUCCCCAUUUAUCCUUGGAGAUAGGUAUAUUAGGCUACCCACUAAAAAAUUAGAAAUAAACAGCAACCCAAUGCGUUGAAUAUUCAAAUUACUCAUAUUUAAUAUCUAUUUUAAAUAAAAAUAAAUUGAAUGUAGCCACCGAAUUGACUCAACGACUAACCUCUCCGGCAGCCGCCGCCGUCGUUGUCAUAAGCAUUUCCUUCAAACCCUUCUUCGCACUGGCAACGAAAUCCUAGGUUCUCCGUCGAGCUGGUAAUGUUCUCACGAUUGGCAUUUUUUGAGCAUUGUGCGACAGACGAAGGAGAGACCCACCACUCUAACUCAAUGACCCCAAACUCGACCUCGAACUGAGUGGUCGAAUUUGACGUAAAAUUAACGAAUACAGAGGACAAAAGGGAGUGGCACUUAUUUAAAGGAGGCAGAAAUCCAUUUUGCUCGGUCUUGGUGAAACAGCUCAUAUUAUUACUCUUAAGGCCGCAGUCCGUCGGCUGAUUCAGGGUGAAAUUCCCCAUGACUCCGCAUGGAAGUGGUUGUUCGGUACAAUUCAAGAAGAGACUGUUGCGGAGGGUGGGCUUGUAGUUUUUGCUGGACAGUUCUGAGAGUGAAUUGAUAGGGAUAUUGCACCCUGUAGGAAGUUUGAUGAUGAUACUUCUUUCAUUAAUGUUCUGAACCUGGAAUCUGCCGAUUUGAAUCUCGCCAUUUUUGCUGCAACCCAAUUUGAUUGGUUUCACGUCUGUGAAUCCAAACGGAUGGCGUACAAAUUGAGCCGAAUUACCGGUUUCGCAGGACGUUAAACCCUCGGCGAUUGUUAAAAAAGCCGAGAAAAUUGUGAUUACAACGAUCAAGCAGUUUCGAUGCAAAGUCAUAGUUGACUGCAGCUUACUCCAACUGAACAAACAACAAAAAGAAUCAUCCCCUCCCUCCCUGCAAAAGAAAAUUUAUCUUCAAAACUAAGCCAAAUAAAAAUCUAAUGCCUAUUCACCAAUACGAUCAGCAGAAUUUGAAAAGAAGAAAAAAACAAUAGAAUUUCAGAAAGGUUUUCAAAUGCGAACAAAUCAACCAGUCCGAUUUCUGUCAACAAGUUUCGUAAAUAACCUAGAAAUUUCAAAAACUCUGAAAUUAAAUGAAGAAUUUAAAGCAGGACUGCGAUGCCGUUGGGAGGCCAUCCAUCCUAAUAAAUACUCUUGAGAUGGAAGCAAAUAUCAUAUAUCAUAUUCAUAUAGACGAAAAAGAAGGAACAAUUUCUACGGUCAUAGCAUUAAUGAAUUGAAACCUCCACCUCUGACCUCGCUCUUCAAUGGCAGUAAAUGCUCUGUUGAUCACACUUGUAAGCUGGUGAGAGAAGAGGUGGACACGAUCAUUGAAGUCGAUUUCAGAGGAAAAUUAAAAGAUUAGGUUUCAAUCAAAGAAAAAAUUGAUCCCUAAAAAUGUUGUAAAGAACAACCCGAAUCGCUAGGCUUUGUUGAUUUUGAUGGAAAAUGGAAAGGGAAAGCUGAGAAAAAGAAAGAAGGAACCGUGAAAUUGAGACAGAGAGAGAGCUUCCUCUUCUUCUUAUUCUACUUUUGAACGUCUUGACGAUUUUUUUUUCAUUUUAUAAUAUGACCAAUCUACCCUUUAUCAUUUUAAUACACUCUCUCCCCACUCAACCCACCUCAAUUACCAAAAUACCCCCUCAUCUUUUUCAACAUUUAUUCCUUAUUAUUAAUUUAUUUUCCUAUUACAUCAUUUAUUUUCUUUCUUCAUAUAUAUAUAUGUGUGUGUGUGUGUAUGUCAUCCAUUUUCGUGUGGCAGUUAAAUCUACUACCAGAAUCAUUUAAAUGCCAAACAGUUUCAAAAUCAUAUACCUAAUCAAUUGAACAUAGUCCUAAUAAGGUUAUGACGAGGUUUUACUACACGAUUUGUUUUUUUAUUAACACGAUAUUAACAUAUUAGAGGAAUUUUAAAAUCUAAGUGACUAUAGACACAAAUCCAAAGAGGUUUUGUUUAUGAAAAACACAUUUAGAUUAGUAGUUUAUUUUGUAAUCACGUCAUAAUACCCAUCUCACGGAUGUUCAUCUAAUUUUGAAUGCCUUCUUGCAAAAAAAAAAUUAUAAAAUAAAGUUUGUAAUUUAAAAUGAAAUAGUAGUCUUUUAUAGUUAAUCCUUUCAUUAACUAACAACUGAUUUAAAACGAAGAAUGUUUGUUUAUUGUACAUUUCCAUAAUUACUAAAAACUUUAAAAAUAAGUUUUAAACUAACCAUAAUUUUCUUUUACCACAACAAUUCGAAGAUGAGAAACCAAACAAACUAUCAAGUUAGGUUGAUUUUAGCGUUUAAGCACGAUUAAACGAAUGAAAAUGACUUAAAUACAAAUAAUGGGGUGUGUGAGUUGUAAAGAAAAGUAUAGUAUAAAAAUUAAAAAGGAUAUUUAAGGCUAAAUGUGAAUGCAAAAUAAAUGAAGAAUGGAGUAAAAGUAAGGAAAUUUGGAGGAAAAAGGAGAGAAUAUUGUUACAGCAAAAUUAUAGCUUAUAAAGCCUCAUUUCAGUGUUAUCCACACGGAGGGAGACUUUGAUGUUUGUGGUUUUGAAAAGAAAAAAGAAAGGAUCAUUGUGGUUUUCCCUUUUCUCCCAUCUAAACAUACUUUUUCAACUUAUUCUCUCUCUAAAUUGUCAACAUAUAUUAAAUUUGGUUGUCCUUUCUUCUUUCAGAUAACGCAACAAAAAAAAAUUAAACCAUAUAAUAAAAAUCAACUUAAAAACUUAAGCUAAUUAGUAGGUGAAAGUAUAUAACAUGUUACCCAAAAUUUGGAUUGAGUUUUUAAAAUACCUUUAAAAGAUUAAUAAUAAAACUAAGGUUGGUGCAUAUGAGAAAAAGACUACACUAAUUGUUAGUUAGAAAUUAAGUUUAGGAAGAGAUUGGAUUUAAAUACUAUUUUGAUUAUGACCCAUUACAUACAUAUAUGUAUGUACACAAUCUAUUAAAAUGUACUUAUUUUUUUAAAAGAUUAUCUUAAUCCAACGGUCUAAAAUUUGGGAAAAAAAUAUUUCUUAAUAACUUAUUUUUAUUUAAACUGUUUUGAUAAAAGAAACUAUUAAAAUAUAUCUCAAAAAGCUUUUGAGCUUGCCAAGUAUUUUAAUUUUUUUAAAAGACUUCUAUUUUAAAAAAUCAACCGUUAAAAAAUGUAUAAAAUAUACCAACGCAACCUAUAGAUGUAAAUAAUUAAAAGACUAAAUUAUAAAAAGUGACCCUCAACUUUCAUGUUUAUGUAAAAAAUACCCACAUUCAAAAGUUUUAAAAAAUUCCUAAACUUUCAAAAAUACUCUUUCUGUUAGUUGUGGAAGAAAGGCCUUAAAACUAUUAAAGAGUUUCAUAAAUACUAAAAUUAUAAAAAAAAUUAAAACUAUUUCCAUUAAUUCAAUUUUACACCAAAUUUCUAAGUUUUCACGCUAAAAACCAAAAUUUUAGGUUACAACUAUAGUUUUAAAUUUCCAUGGAUGGAUGUUUUUAUUGAUAUUUUCACAUUUUCAUGGAUUCAAUAUUAAUAGAAAUGAUGAAUCAAUAUCAUCAUAAAAAUUCACCCAUCACAAAAAAUAAACCUGAAAGUAACACUACUAUAAACAUAAUAUAAAUAAUAAACAUGUUUACUUAUAUGAAAAUAAUAAAAUAUUUAUUUACUAAUUUAAAAUCCUUCUCUAAAUUGGUUGUUUUUAUAAUUUUCUAGAAAUAUCGUUGAAAUCAAAAUUUUAAUAAAAUUAACACUUCUAUAUAUUAGUAUAUAUCAAUCAACAUUGAUAUUUUAAACCUUGAUUAAAAUAUCAAAUUCUACAAAAUCUAACGUGUUUAAAAAAAUUCUCCUUAAAUCAUAUUAAAAUAAUGAUUAGUCAAAUAAAGCACGGAUAGAACUAUCAAACUAUCAGUAUGUGUUAAUAGUUAAAUACAAUUUUUUAUUUGACAAUUAGAUGUUUGUUAAUUACAAUAAUAACUAUUGAAAUGGAUUAGAUUUAUUAGUUUUGAUUUUAGUUGGUGAGAAAAUUGGGAUGAAAUUUAGAGUAUUUUGAAGAGUAAUUUAGGGUAAGAAAAAGUAGAUUCAAAAUAUAGGACGAAAAUGGAAUAUUGGAAAAGGUCAGCAACGGCAAAAGAGGAGCAGAUUUUUGGGUGGGAAUUGCAAAUUGCAAAUUGCAUGAAGUGAGAAAGUGGACGCGGAAACAAAAAUAUAUAGAAAGUCAGCGAGAAAAAUUAUAAAGAAAUUGACCAAUAAAUCCCAACAAACAGCCUUUUGUUUGUCCACAGCACCAUCACCUCUCACCUUUUCUUAUUCAUCCAUUAUUAUUAUUACUACUCAUCUUUGUGCUCAUUAUUGCUAAUCACCUUUUCUUCUUCUUCCUUUUAGAUUUUAUUAUUUGUUUUUGUUGAAGCAAUAUAGAAUUUUGAGGAAUAAAUAAUCUUCCAAAACUAUUUUGAGUAUACUUUACAUUAUAUAUUCAUAUUUAUGUAUUAUGUAAUGUCACAUUAAUAAACUAGUCACUAUAAUCAAUUUGGUCGACAUAACUAAUAUUUCUCUUUUGGAUAUUUAACUCUUCAACCUCAAUUUGGUACACAUAUGGAAGUGCUAGAAUGUCGCUUUUUUGCCUUUAGAAUAUGGUCCCAUGAGCCUUUGAAAAUUUUGUGGACGCUUUUGGGUGUUAAUAAUGGACUUCAUUUAUAGUAACUUUAAUCAUUGUCUAAAUUCUAAUUUAAUAAAAAAAAAUUAUUUAGUUUGAUUAUUGUCAACAAAAGUUUAGCUCAACUGACAUAUGUACGUAUUAAUAAUCGAGAUUCAAAUCUCUCCACUUCCGAUUAAUAAAAAAUGUUUGAUUAUUAUAAUUCUAAUAUAUGUUCAAACCACACCAUUGUUAUAUUAGUUAAGAGAAAAAAAAUCAUUGGGGGCAUUGUCGUUACAAGUAGUGAGAGAGAAAAAAAACCUAUAAUAUAGUUCUUAUAUAUAUCUAAAUUUUUCUUGCCCCUUAUUUUUAUGAUAAUGUAAUAAAGUGUGAAUCUUGUUCUUUUCUUUAAUAAUUAAAAAAAAGGAUAUAUAUAUAUAUAUAUAUAUAUAUAUAUAUAUGUAUAUGUAUUUGAUUACAUAAAAUUUAAAUCUUGAUUAGUGGGGGAAAAAAUAGAAUGUUAUAUUUGUUGAAAGUUGUCAUUUGAGAGUCUCAUUCAUAUAUUGCAUUUUCUUAUUUUGAAAUAAUUAAGUGUCUGAUUACUAAUCUUUAAUCAAAACGGGUAUUGGUAAUAAGUUUUUGAUAUAUCAAUCAUAAUAGACGAUCUUAAUUGUAAAGUGCAAUUGAAUUGCUUUCGAUCAUGCCUAUUGAUGCAUUUUUGUAAACAUAAUUUAGUUACUAUAUAUUGAUAUUAUUUAUUUUGUCUUUAUUUGGUAUCAUGUCUUCUUACUAUUAUCGUACGUGAAUUAUUACCGUUUAUGAUGAAUUGGUAACAAUGUUUGUAACAAUAACUGUAAUUGUAAUAGAUUUAUAAUUCUCAUACCAUAGUAGCAACAAUAACUAUAACAGUAAAAGUUUAAAACUGUAUAAAUGCAUGUGAAAAAAGUUAAAAAAGAUUAAAGAAUCUCAUGUAGUUUUCAAAUGCAAUUAGAUUGAUCACUUUUAUCUUUGUAUUUAGAUUGUAUUUGAUGAUCAGAGUAUCCCUCAUUAAUGAAAUAUAUGAUAAACAACCAUAAACAUGAUCAAACCAAUUAUAUUUUGGUUAGACUAAUGGAUUAUGUUUUUAGAGGAAAUAAUAAACAUGAGUUAGAUGAUUUAAUACUUAGAUGAGAAGGAAGGGUUAAGUGAAAGGGUUAAAUGUAAUUUUGUGAAGAGUAAUUAUUAGGGAAGAACGCAUAGAUAAGAUAAAAGGGAGAAGAGGAGGUAGAGAGAGUCGUCCCCAUGCAAACCACGGCGAGGAUAACAUCUGGAUCGUGGAGGUGGAAGUCUUCCGCCGUGUUUGUGAAGCGGAAACUCCGAAUGGACAAAAGUACCCCCAGAGCCAAAAUUAUUGACCGGAAUAUUCCUGAUUUAUGACUUUGAUAUGCAUGAAGGAAAAGGAAAAGGAAAAGCAAAAGGAUAAGAAUGUUUGAACUCUCCACUUCAAUCCACAUCCAUAUAUCUAAACUACAAUUCAAACUUCAACUUCCUUUUCUUUUUUUCAACUUUACUGAGUUAUAUUUCUUUUUUUCUUUUUAAUUUUACAAAAAAAUUGAAUAAAAACCAAAUAUUUUAAGUAAAUAUAUAUUAGUUAUAGUUAUAGAGUGAACAAAGUCACUAUAGAUUUAUGAUAAUUGUAAAAUUUACCAAAAAUUCCAAGGUUUAAUUUCUAUAGUAUUAAUUAUCAUCUUUUCAUAUUUUAAAUUAAUUAAGGUGAGACAUAAUGGAACUAGUACAACAAAUUUCCCUAACCCAAGAUAUAUUGUAUUUAGUUUUUUGUAACUUAGCCUAACAUCAGCAUUCAUGAAAAUUUCUUCUAUUCAGUAAAUUAUUUUUUUAAUUUGACUAAUAUCUUGUAUGUAAUAUAUUUUAAUAAUAAGCACACACAUAACCAACCCAAAAAUUAAUGGAUUAGAUGUGGUUUUCUUACCUAAUAAUAAAAAAGGGAUAAAUUAUGAUUUUUUUCUUUUAAUAUAUCUCUUUUUAGUAAUAAGUUAAAGGAAUAAAAAUUCAACCUUAUCAAAAAAGGACGUGAUGAAUUUGUGUCCAUAUAAGACAAUGUUAAUCACCGUUACCUAUUCUUUGAAGGUAACGUUUUUUGUGUCUAAGAAGUCGUGUGUUAGAUUAGGUUGACUUAGGCUCUCUUAGCUAAACCAAUUCAUAUAGCUUUGUUUUCGUAUUCUAAAAAAAAAUAAUUUAAAGUUAAGAUAAUUAAGAAAAUGAAUAAAAUUAUAUUUAAAAGAAAACUGGGAAUUAAAAGCCACAAUAAUCGUUGGUGAGCUUUUUUUUUUUUUUUCCUUUUCUCUUUGGGUGAAGGACACCCAAAAGCUUUAUAAUUAUUUGUAUCGUUACCCCGUUCUCUAAUAAUUUAAAUUAAAUAUUUUUCACAUUUUUCUUAUUCAUCUAUAAUAUUUUCUUUACAAAAAAAAAUGGAAUGAAAAUAGUUUCAUUUUUUUAAACAAUAUAUGGGGUGGACGAAUUGAAACUCAAAUUUUCAAAUUGACAAUACAAAAAUUUCAAAUUGAUAAUAUAAAUAAACACUAUGCGAUCAUGAGGUGGCCAUGAGACUAACUUCAGAAGUUUCAUAUUAAUUGACAUAUAGGCGUGUAGGUUUCGAAUUUUUUUUUUAGGGUUUUAUUUUUUAAAGAGAAAUUAGUGAAUGAAUAUAUAACAAAAAUCCAUUAUAAAAUGCAUGCAUGGAUAUAGAUCAUAUAAUAGGAUAAAAACAAACCCUAGUAUUUUACACUAUUAGGUAGAAACUUUUGAAUUACAUGCCAUAACUUAAUUUUGGAAUUAGGUUAUAGUCAAAUUUUGGAAGUUGCAUGACACACCAAUAUUGGCAUUUUUUUAUGUUCAUAUAGUAUCAUAAAGCCAAUCCCACGACUCUUCCUCUCUCCCUUCUUCAUUAAUUCAUGUCGUUUUUUGAGCAUCUUUGAAAGCAUGAGUUGAUACAACCUCUCACGCUUGCUUCUCAUCAGCAAUAUAUAUAUAUAUAUAUAUAUAACAAAAAUUUUGAAAGAACUAGAAGCUAAAUCAAGCUCAAAAUUUUAAAACUAAAAGUGUAACGUUUUGGAACUCCUAGGAAUCAAAUAGAGACUAUACCACCAUUAUUUGUUUUAAUAAAAUACUAGAAGUUUAGGGAUAAGAGAUAGGAGACAACGUGAAUUUGUUGGACUUCGAAUCAUAAUACAUAUAUGAGUUCCUGUUCUUUGAGAUGAUAAUAUUGCUAACGGACUUACUAGGCACACCAGUGUAUCUCAACCAGCUGGUUGACAAACAUAACACAAUUCCUCGAUAAAAAAAUUAAUGUGAUAAUUUUUCUGUAAAAAACUUAAAUAUACUUUUUUUAUUAGGUUAAAAGAACUGGACGCAUAAAAUUAGGUGCAACCUUAGUUUCCCAAAACAAUAAAUAAAUUAUAUAUAUAUAUAUAUAUAUAUAUAUAUAUAUAUAUAUAUAUAUAUAUAUAUAUAUGUUUAUUUAUUUAUUUAUGAUUGUAUCGAUACAACACACUUAUUCAAAUUAAGAUUAACUUUUCGUCUAGCAAUUGUAAGGUGGAUAGAUAUUAAAUAUUUAAAACUUUCAAAAAGAUAAUUGGUGCCUUAGAAGUAUUUUCGAAUUAACGAAAUAAAGUUUAUUUGUGAGAUUAUUAAUCAUUAAUCACCAAUUCCACUGCAAACACACACACUUAAUCUAUAGUAAAGAAAAAAUUGUGACAAAACAUUUCAUUCUCGCAUAGCAUAAAUUAAAAAGAGAAACAAUGAUGUUUUUUAUUGUUCAUAAUCAACUACAUUUGAGAGCAUGAAGCUACGUUCACAUCAAAAUAAAACAUGUGUUUAAAUAUGAAAUAAUAGGCUUUUAAGGCAAUGCUUUUAAUUUUCACCCAAGAUUUUUUAUUACUCAUAUAUGGUAUGUAUAUCUUGAAAAGUCAAUCAUGGUUCCUUUCUCCUCUCACCAUACUUCAUCUUCCUUUUUUUAGCAUCACUACUUCAUGCACGUUUGAUAACAUCCUUUAUAACAACUCUCUGCUUUGUCUAGGUCUGUCAAUUUCAUAAAGAAGAAAAAAAUAAUUAAAAAAUAAAAGAUAAUCAGUCAUCAAAACUAGAGAAAAUUAUUAACGAAAGGGAAAAACCUUUAGUAUAUGAAUACUGCUACUAAACUCUCGUUGAUUGUGAGUUAUUGAUGAAAAUUUUGUAUAUGAAUACUACUCUAAUUAAAUGUUAGUCAUGACUAGGAUAACCUCUAAUGACAUUUCAAGCUCAAUGCAUGUCAGCAAACAAUGUCUUCCAAACGAAUUAUCCUCAUUAUAAAAAUGUUUGCCAAUACACUACCACUAGUGCUUAAAAUACAAAAGAAAUAUCAAAAUAACACCAAUGAACCUGCUAAAAGCUUUUUUUUUUUUUUUUGAUAUAUUACAUUUGUAUAUGAAUUAAAUUUGGUUUGAUUUGAAUCCAUUUAAAAUUGACCACUCUUAAUCUAAACCACAAAUCGGAUUGAGGAUGAAACAAUAUUUGUGGCGAUACUAUCGAAAAACGAACUACUCACGAUGACACACUCCCACACUUCCCUUGAUCACCUCACUUUUUUUUUUUUGGCAUUUUUUGACUAAUUUAACUUCCUUUUAUGGCUUAAAAUGUGUGAAUUCAUGUUAAAGCCCUACGAACGUGGAAGAUCUCAUUUGUAGUUUACAAAAUUGUCAUUACACAAACUUACUUAAACAUAUCCUUAAAUUAUAUCUUUCACAUUUUCAAUGGAUUUUUUUAGUUGUAAAUAUAACAAAUAGAAACAUAUAUACAGACCUAGACCUAGACCACGUCAAUUAAUAGGAGUAUACUUUGUUAUAUUUAUUUUUCAUAAUUUUACUAUAUGCUUAAAUCAGUAAAACUAGAAGUGAUCUCUAUUGCAAUUGUUUGUUUAUUUAUUUUUCAGUAGAACAUGAUCCUUUACUUAAUUAGCCGAGUUAUUAUUCGAUAUAAAGAAUUUUGUUAGUAUAAAACACAUAGCUCAACUGACAUCUGAUAUGUGUUAGCAAUCAUGACAUUUAUGACUUGAAUCACUGCACCAACAUCAUAUUCUCUCCAAUUACUAAUUUAAUAUCAAAUCAAUUAAUAUAAAAAAGAGAAAGUUGAUGUCACAAUUAGUAUAAAAAGAUAUUAUAUUCGAUCAAGGACUCGUGACCUUGAAUAGGCUUUAUAUUUUGGAGUAAGUUGAGAAUCACCCACAUUGAAAAUAUAUUUUGUUAAAGAAAUCAACAAUGAACUAUAGAAUUACAAAAACCGUAUGAAGAAAUCGAUGUACAUAUCUAUCUGUGGUUUACUAACAGUGUCUUAGCUACAUCUACGAGAUAGAGAAAACACAUGUUUUAGAGAGAAUCUUUUCUUAGCACAAAUUAAAUGGCGCCUCUAUACUUUGUUGUUUGUAGCACCACAUGUAACAAAUUCAACGCAUUUUAUCAAUUUGUAUAUGUUUCAAUUACUUUACUUUCACAAACCAAUUGAUGUAUGGUAUGAAAAGCUAGUUCAUGUAGCUAUGAUCUAAUAUGAUGAUUAAGUUAGAAAUUAAGUAUCUUACCCCUUUCAACGUUUGUUCCUUUAUAUACAUUUUUCAAUUCUAUUAUAACUAAUAAUUUUCACUUGGUUGCGUUAUGAACAAUAUAAAAAAAUAUUUUAGUAUUUUAAUAUUUUAUUUUUUGUUUUACUUCAGAUUAGAAAAAAUAUCUUAAAAAAUUUAAAAAUAUAUUUAUCUCUUCUCCGAAAAAACACAAUCGUACCACAAACUUAUUAGUAGCGUAAGACAUUUAUAUAUGAAUUAAAUUUGGUUUGAUUUGAGAUCCAUUUAAAAUUAUAAGCUAAUAGGUUAAAAAGAAAUUUAGUUAUAAAUUUGUAUAAAUAUUUAAGGACACUCAUCAAUUUUCAUCCAAAAUGCUAAAAGGAUUUUUCUUCAAAGAUAGGUUUGAAAUAAAAAUGGAAACGAUAAUGUUGAAUUCUUUAUUUUUUUAAAAAAUAGGGAUUUUUUGUAUUUACAUGCCUUGUAUUUUCCUUUCGUUUUCUUGUGAGAUUUGACGUUUUUCGUAUUUGGGCUUUUGGUGGGCUGCUUGUUGUGGCCCAAAGACCACCAUUUCAUUCAAUCCUCUCCCUAUUAUUAUUAUUAUUAUUAGAGGACCAGAGGUUUAUAAAAAAUACAAAAAACGAUAUAUAUAUAUAAAAACAAAAUUUAUUAAUUUGUAAAUAUUUUGUCAUUCUUUUAUUUGACAAUUUUCCUUGUUAAUAUAUAUAAUAAAGGUCUUAAAAACAAAUUAAAUCUUUAAUAAAUUUUUAUCACUUUGAUGGUUAAAUCCAUGGUAUGUAAAAGGGCUACAUUUCUUGGUGAAGAAAUUGGUUCAAAAUGGAGAAAGACAACUUCUUUUCUUUUAGAAGGAAAAGAACUUUUAUUUGAAAUUUACAAUAAACACAUUUGAGAGGAUACCUUUUCAUUUAUUUCAUACACAAUCUCACCAACUUUUCUUCACUAUAAGGUUGUCUAAGUCUCUACUUUUACUUGGCUUCCAUAUGGAUCACACUUCCUAUUUAUAGGCAUUAAAUUGUUGGAGUUCAAGCAAACAUAUGAGAAAGGAUCCAAGUUUUGCUCUAUCUACAAAUUUGUUAUGGAUUGUGUUGUAUCUAAUAAUCUUUGGACUGAAUUGCUAUAUUAACCGACACCCCUUUUCCUUAAAACCACUUGUUGCAAUUCGCUUGCAAGCAAAUGCAUUCAACAUCAUUUCAUUUACAUCAAAGAAAUCACACCUAAAUUAGAAGAGAAUCGAGCUAUCACAAAAACCAUCUACGAUUCAGUUACCCAUAAAAACAUCAUGCUGUUGCAGCCACCAUUUCUCGCCCUCAUCCGCCAUCGCAUUUGCAACCUCCGAACCACCGUCCCCGCUACCGACAAGACUUUCCAAGGUCCUUUUCACUUUGUUCAAUCGCUUAUAGAAACGAAUGCGGCGAAGAACCACAUCUCUGUCCAUUUUGCCAGCAGAUUUCAAGAAAACAUGGCUCGAAACGCCGUCGUUCCGGCUGAGGUCCGAGUUCCGGGGAUUCUCAGUUUCUGGGAAAGACGUCGAAGCUUUGGAAAUCAUGAAAGCCAUUUUGGUUUUGUGGAAGAGAGAGGUAAUUGCAGAGAAUUGGAGGGAUUUUUAUAGAAUGAAAGAAAGUGGAGAUUUCAAUUUGAUUUAAUGGAUAUCGUUUUGUGUGUGAUGAAAAGCCAAAGGUUUAGUUUCCUGUGGGUUUUGAGCGCCCAAGGUUUUGCAAAAUCAGUGGGUCUUUGGUUAACAAACUCUUUUUCUUUUUGCUUCUCAAAAGCUUCCAUGUUUCAACGAAAGUUUCUACUUUUACUUAAAACUGGAUUGUUCUAUUCUUUUCCAUUUUUUCUCUCAGAACUUGACAAAGAAAGCCUUGGGAGUUUGUGAUAUCUAAAACCUUCACAAGAUAUUAGUUCGUCGAAUCAACAACUAAACAUGAUUGAUGAUAUUCGUGAGAAGAAUUAAUCAAAAGAAUUGCGAAACAUGUAAAGAUGGAGGAUAUUAGUCGUUGGAUUGUUGUUAAUGUUUACAAAUAGAAAUUCAAUCUAUAUUAGCAUUCACUUUUUUCUUGUAUAAAUAUUAUUGUUAAAUAAACUAAUUCUGAUGUAAUUUAAAAUUAAAAGACUAGUUUUAAGAUUCUAUUAAGAGCUUGUUAAUUAAAUUUGAACAAAUAAAAUAAUGAAAUUAAGAUUGAAAUUAAGAUAGAAAUGUAAUCUUAUCUCAUUAUUAAAGGAAGCGACUAAAACCAAUAAUAUUUGUAAAAAUAUUUUAGUUUUUAUAAAUGUUUAAAUUAGAGUUUAGAAUAAAAUGAAUAAAAGUCUAUCUACGAUGUGAUGUAGCAAAAUAGAUCACUAUCUAUUUCCAUUCAAUUUUUUUUGUAAAUGAGAAAGCAAUUAGGGGAGAGGGAGAAUUUUAGGGUUGAAUCAAAUUUGGAAGUAAUUAAUUUUAGGAAGAAACUAACGAGAGAAAAAUGAAUCAUAGUGAGUUGACUGAUUUGGUGAUCUCCAUGGAGUCAAACUUGAGGAUGACUAGAGGCAAAUUUGAAAAAAAAAAAAAGAAAAUUAGCUCCAUGCUUGAAUUUCGAAGCUAUACAAAAUUUGAAGUAUUUUUUUAUUUUUUUUGUAUAUAUAUUUAACGUUAGCAAAUUGAAAUUAAUAACAAUCGACAAUAUCUACUACAAGAAAACCUUCCUCUAGUCUACUCUACAAUCAAUGUGGUAAAGUUUCCUCCAUGAACGAGAGGAACUUUAUCCAGUCAUUCAUUUCUGAUAUACAUCCGUUGAAGCCAUAACUAAAAAUGGCCACAUCAACAAGGUUUCAUGAUAUAUUUCGAAAUUUGAUGUCAUGUCAAUCAACCUGUUUUGGAAAUUACCUUUAAGAUCUACACUACCUUUGACUUUUGAGAUAUCCUUCUCAACAUUUUAUCAUUGAGCAGCAGAUAAUCUGUUUUGAUCAUAAAGGAUAUACAGAGGACAGAUAUAGACCAGACACAAAAUUAUUCCUUGUCAUUGUUGUCAAGGAGAGUCAACAGAAAACCACUUACAAUCCGCCGUAGGAUAGGCCAAGGGAUACAACGGCACAACAUACCAUCAAGAUAUGCUAAAAUACCGUUCAGCAUAAACUUGCCAAUUCCCAUAGUCCAGAUGAACUUACAUUUGGGUUUCCUGUCAGUUGGAACUAAUGCAAGAUCGGUUUUUUCACUAUCAGAUUUCGAUUCUUUGUUCCGAGGAAUCCUGACUACAAUCUGCUUGACACCCUUUCUCAGUAUACGAAUAGCAAAACUUACUAAGAGAUGUUCACCGAGCGUUAGCAAUGUAGGUCCAAUCUUCCAUUCCUGAACGAUAGGUGCAGAAAACAUUGGUUAGUAAUUGGGUUUUAUCUUCAAAGUUAUAGCAGCCUAUAGCUUAAACUCUACCAUGGAAGUCUAGUCAUACAUUGGAAUACCCAGUUACAAGUUCAGAACCAAAAACAAAGCUAGAAAAUGUAACAGACAAGAAAGUGGACAGUUGAUAAGCUUACACUUUCACGUUGAAGAUCUUGAAAAGGGCGACUACUCAUUCCCGAAUCUCCUUUUAACAAUUCUUUGCUAACAAGAAAUUCUUCCACACGUCUCACGAUCUCAUCAGUCAGACGAGUGUUUGGAGGAAGAUUUUUUAGGGUAACCUGAAUGCACACACAAUAUUAUUUGAGUUCUGAAAGCUUAGUUAUGAGGGUUAUCAAAUUAAAAGAUUAUAGUGCAUCAGAAGAAUUUAUGGUCGGGGGCAGAAAUUUUCCAGUGAAUGAUUCCUUAGUCAUCAACAAAUAUAUAAAGAAAGAAUUUCUUGAUCAGCUCCCAGACAUACCUGAUUGUUAACGACUGUAACUCUAAGAUAUUCUUGUUUGUACAAUGUAUCCAGCAUAGCUUGCAGGUAUCCUUCAAUAUAUAACUGCAGCCAUAAAAAACAGGAAACCGUUGUUCAACUAUAAAUAAACCUAUUGAAAACAAUAAACACGAAAUCAAGGCUUAUGUGGAAACCUGAGAACCAGGAGAAAAACCACAUGCUUUUAGUUUUAUUAUUUUUCUGAAGAAUAAUACAAUAGGUACAAAGAGGGAGAAUAAAUAGAAUACAACAAAAAGGAAAAAAGGAAAAGAUUUAGGAAAUAGGAAAAAUCUUCCAUAUUCUUUCCAAAAAUACUCCAAGGGCCACUAAUUCUAACAAAACCAUAUUACCUAUUAAAUCCACAACCUGAAGAUAAAGAAGUUAUAUUUCUUCUUCUUUCCAACAUUACACUGCAAUGAUGUCAGUGUGAUGUAAUAUUUUAAUUAUACUAGUUUACUACCACGUGUUACAUAUGGUUUUCCUUUCUAUUUUGUUUUUUUUUUCCUCCGGUAAAUUAUACUUUGUUAGACUUCUGUAGAUGUCAAUAAUUACAAGAAAAUACAUUAAUCUUUUUGCAAAUAAUAUGUAUAUUUUCACCCGCGAACAUAAUUCAAUAUCUUGGACCAAAAGGUUAGACGGUUUAAAUCCUCACUCUGCAUGUAUUUACUUAACAAAAAGUUAUUUCAUUGUAAAAUUAUCCAUGAUUUUAUUUUAUUCUCGUUAUUAUUCUUUUCUUUUAUGUAUUGAGCCUUUAUCCUAUAUAAGGUUGCAUCUUAUAGUUUGAUUAUUGGAAUACAAAAUAUUCUAUUUCAUUCAGAUCUACCAUAACUAAUGGUACAAAUCAAUUCACUUAGUGAGUAAUUCAUGUAUUGAUAUAUUUAUAUUAUUGAGUUUAGUAAUGAAUAUACAAAGUAAAUAGCCAAGCUGGCUCAACCUUUGUGUACCUGACUGAUAUAUGAUACCAUAUAUAUGUGUGUGCGUGUGUGGAUGUGGUAUCAUAUAUAUGUAUGUAUGUAAACCUUUCGUGCUCCUCCCAGUUUAUCUGGUUGUUGGAAGUACCUUCAGUAAUUUUUUGUCUCCGCCGGGUUUAAGUUUUACAAUUUUACAUCUCAUUCUUUAGGAGAGUAAAAAUCCCUGGCAUCUCCUAUGACAUAUCGUGCUUUGGAAACACACUAGAAUAGUGGCUCUUUGAUCUCUGAUCCCAAUCUUUGGGAAGAAAAUUAAAGCUAACAAACCCAGGGAAACAGAAUGAAGGAAGAAGAAUCAGUUUGUAAGAGUUGUGAUUGAGGACGAGGAUAGAAUUGAGCAGGUUAUGAGGUUAACCAUUGAAAUUCUAAAGGCCCAAGGUUCAGCAUUGUCAAGUUCAAGAACAUUUUCUCUAUCCUCACAACCCAUAAAACAGGGGAUGGUACUGGCUUUCUUUUGGCAUGACAAAUGACAAGGACCAAGAUGCUUUAAGCAAAAAUUUCCAUGACAUUUUGCCUUAUCAAGUCAGCAAGAAAGUAGAACAUGUAAUCAGUUGAACAAAGAAGGAAGCGCAUGGGCCAUUUCCUUUAGGUGCCCAACCAGAGAGGGAUGCAGUGAGCUCCUUCACUACUCUCUUACAUACAAGACCAUCUUUCUUGGCUUUUGGACAAAGAUGACAUUUCUUUUGUUGGAUCCAUGGUGAAAUUUCUCUAGUCUAAUACGCAAUACUUGCUCACUCUCUUCUGAAGAAACUGUCAGGUUUUCCUUUGGUGAUUAUCACUGGGAGAGCAACGAAGCUGAUAAAUUACAAAGUGUAAUUUCAUCCAUAAUAUAACAGAGAACUAUAUAUCAUGUUUCAUGAGUGCACAAUGAAAAUAAAAAAGAUGUAAGGGUAUCGUGUGAUGAUUGAUUAUGCAAUUAAAGGGGAAAAUAAUCCAAAAACAUAUCUUGAGAAUUGAGCUAUUUUCUUUAAAAUAUAAAAGAACUACGAACUGUAUUCAAGGUCUGUAGUUGUAUGAGAUAUUACUAGCAUAGUCAACUUGAAGUCAUCCAUAUUGAUCACGAGCAAGGAAUACAACAUUGACUAGUACACCACACACUUACCUCAUCAACACCUGGGCUUUGAUCAAGUUUGAUAUGUCUCUGUGGGCCACCUUGCAUCAGUACACUCCCAAGUAUAGAUGGCUCCAUGGCUAUCUUUAGUAUUCCUUGGUGAAAUCCACUCACCUUCGAAAUUGCAGGAACAACCAAAGUUUUCAUUUUUUAUAUAUUAUUUCAGGUUAGGUGAAACGUAGAGAGGGAAAAAAACAAACAAACAAAAAAAGAAGAAAAGAAUAACUAAUGUACUUGAAUAGAAAGAUUAUCUACCAUUCCAUUAAAACCACUUGCUUCUGCUCCCUUGAGAACAGAGUCUGAAAUCUCAGUUAUAGCAGCAAACAUAACUUUUGAUCCAGCUGUACUGAACUGUAAAUCAGUUUAAAUCCCAUUAGAUUUUAUCAUUUAGGUGUAAUCAACAUGUAUGCCAAGAUUAUCAGACUCACAGUUUUCCCUAAAUCUCCAAGAUAGCGUUUGGUACCUGACCCACUUUUCACAUCAAUAAAUUUCUUGAUAAACUUCAAAGUCCCUGAUCUCAAUAGCCAAACAGCAAUUGAACAUUAACACACAGACCUCUAAACAUUGGUAGAAUCAGCUUCGAUCAUGAAUGCAACUAACAAUUGGAAAAAUUGAAAAAUGGUAGGUUCAAUUUGAAUUUGGCAAAAAAUUAUUUGCUUUACCUGGAAAACCCAUAAACCCAUUAGAGGGAUCAAAAAAGACAUCCAAGGAAGAUGAAGACAAAUCAUCAAAGAUGGAAAUAAAAUCUGGAGGGAGCAAUGAACUUCCUUUUGCGAUAUAGAUAGCCCUUAUGGCAUACCUGGAUCAUUAAAAUGUGACUUUAAUUUUAUUCAGCAUAUAAAAAAUAAAAUAUAACCAAACAAAGAUAAGUUCUGCUUACCAUGAAUAAUGUUGAGCACAUCUAAGAAAUAAUUCACGUACUGUGAUCAAAGCAUGACUAACUAGAACACCAUUGAGCUCAACAACCACAUUUUUCAUUUUAGGGAUCUACAAAGUAAGAACAAGGGCAAAAAUCAACAAAUUCUUGCAUGUAAUAGUAGAAAUGCUACAGAUGUUAGAAUGAGCAAGAGAAAUGAGCGCACAAGUCUGUCAAGUCGCACACCUUUACUACACUAUGCAGCAAGGUCCUCAGAGUCUCCUGUGUUGAACUGUAACUUGAAUAUGAUUCAUCAGGAAGGAAAUUUGUAAAAAUCUAAAAAAAUAAAUAAUUCAAAUUAUAAUCAACCUUCAGUUGAAUAUUUAGAUUAAGCAAGGUAGAGAGAACAUAAAGCCUGACCAUUAUCGGGUGGAUCUCAAAAUGGUCAAAAUAGUACUGCUGGCUCUCAGUCUUUGAGUUGGUAAGAGAUGUUCUCCAAAAUGGAGCGAUUCUCAUUAAGGUCUCCUCGUCAAGGUUCAAAUCAAUUGGCUGUGAACAUUAGCACUAACAAAAUCUAAGCAGAGAGAGUCACACGGAAAAAUUAUGUUAAGACUAAGUUAAAUACGGAAGAUGUGAUAAUUUAGAAUUUAAAACUUAUAGCAAAUGAAACGUUAUAUUAGAAUCUAUGGUAUUGAAUUCAAAUUUUUGUAAUUCUAUGUCUUCCUUUAUUUUAUUCAUGCGGUGAACUUCAAUAGUUACUAACAUUUAUGAGAUGGGUGAGAUUGUCACAAAAAUAAAAUAGUCAUAAGUAGAUUAAGAUUUUUGAAUUAGUGUAGUAAUUUAAUGAGCUUUAUUAUCUAACAAACUAUUCACAUGAAUGAAUACCGAUAUUUCCACUUCCGUCCAAUCAAAAUUACUAUCCUGGAAGAGUUACUUUCUUGAACAAGUGAUUGUGGAGUCUAUGUUUAUAACCAAAUGUUUUGUGGAACAUGAAUGUUAUCAGUUAAGGAUGAGCAUUGUUGAGACUAUGAUGUGACCGUAAAUGGCACUUUCAAGCAGCCCUACAGAAGCCAUUUCUUCUUCCUCUUUUUCAUUUUUUUUUCCUUUCCCCUCAUAACCAAUCGACCAGCAAUGAGGCCAACUAAAGUCCUGUCGGUGUAUGGCCAAUGUUAUAAUGCUUAAUAUUACCUGCAGAACGACAGAGAAGUACUUCACUUGCUUCACUUGAAAGCUGGUUGAGUUCAGGACGCACACAAUUUUGAGAACACAAUCAUUUGAGUCACUGUAAUCAAGUCGAUGCCUACGAAGCAUUGCAGCAAAAGUAGCUCCUUCUCUCUUCUCCUCCAAUUUCAGUGACUGCACCAAUUUAACGAAUUAGCACUUGAUCAAAUUGUUAGAAUAAAUGGGUGGUUAUUUGAAUGACUUAGCAACUGCCAGGAUAAUGUCAGGUUAAUGGAAACCAGUACCUGAAGAGUAAUCUGGUUAUAUUUCUGCUGCUCUGUGAACACAGAGUUCAAACUAAUGUCCCUGAGUUUGGCUGCUACAAGUGGCUUACAUUCUGAUGGCUCACUCCCAUAUCCCUCCUGAAAUCAUAGUUAUAAAAGGUCAAAGACAUUAGUUUUCGAAUAAAAUAUAACAUGUCAAUCAAAGAAAUCAAUGAAUCAAUCUUCCACACACCCAUUUUCUUACCACAAAAUAACAUGUAAAUGCACAAUCCAGGAACUUGUUUUGAAUUUUAUAUUUACACUUUCUAACACAAUGAAUGACUAGGAAAACAAAGCAAAAAAAAUUUAUGAGACAUGGGUACCCAUAAUUACGAUCACAUGGAGGAACUGUGAUACUCAUAACACAUAGUCGGAUAGAAAAGAUUAAGAUUACAUUACAAACGAGCAUUCUAGAUAUAAACAAUGCAUAGGAAAGAUUCAGACUGGAAAUUUUCCAAAUCUACCGACUCCCGACUGUUCUUAUUUAUUUAUUUUUUUUUUAAAUACAAGAUAUGAAACUUUCCAUUAGAAAAGGAAAAGAGACUAAUGAUCCAAAGAUGCCAAGUCAACUAGGGAGUGAACAAAGAGAUAAACGAAACAUAGAAGAAUUACCAGGGAAAUAAAAUGAAAAAAAACUAUCAUUCAAUUAUUCAGAUGAUUAUAUUCUUUCCUUUUUCAGUUUUAACUAGUUUUAUUUCUUUUUCUGCUUUUCUAUGAUGUAAGGGCAAUGUACAUUUUAGUCCUAGUUUGUGAUUAUGGUAUUUGAGGUUCAAAGGCUAGUUCUAAAUUGUCCGAUGAGUUAAUUUAACUGUUAGUUGACUAAUGGAAAAGUGACAGGUCAUAUUGAUAUUGCAAGUUUAAAUGAGGUGGCUAAUUUAAUAAUUGUGUAGUAUUUUUCUAGUGACAAUGCGUUUUCAUUUUCUUCCUCAACUCUUUCCCUUUCUCUCUCUUCCCUUGACCUUCCUCCCAAACCCAUUUUUCCAUUGGCCCCAUCUCAAUCUCCAUCUUCAUUCACCUGUAGUUCCACAUCCAGAAAAUCUCAAUCCGCACAAUCAAAUGCCUUUUUAUUUCGAGGACACAAUUGUACAACUACAAUCUAUAGACUAGAUUCUGUUCAAUCCUCACAAUCAAAUGUAUUUUCAAUGAGAGAGAGAGAGAAAUUCAGAGUACAGUUUAAUAAGACAAAAAUGCACAAAAAAAAAUCAAUAAGCCAAAUUAGAUAAUAUUCUAUAAAAUCAAAGCACAAUACCACCCACUUAACCAAAUUUGAGGCAUAAAAUAUUUGAACUUUGUUACAUGAACACUUGAGAAGGAAUGUUUUAGGGAGAAAAGAAGGCUGACCUGUCUCCAACAUUCAAGUAAGUGAACUGUGAUAUUAGAAAUUCUGAGUUGAAAUUUUUGAGAUGAAGAAAUGACUGAAUCUCCUUUGUGACAAUCAGAUUUCAAACAAAUACGUAAAAUCCUGGUUGGACCAUCAGCAUAUAUUUCGUACCCAACCUUCAUAAUCUCCGGGUCACCGAAGUUUCUAGAUAUUGUUCGAUGUGUCAAGCCUCCUUGUAGCCUAGACUUAAAUAAAGGUUUCCAUGUGCGCAACUUGUCCAAGUUAAUUUCACGAAAGCUCACUACCAGUAAAUUCAACAGCAAAAAGUCAAGUACCACCCAUUGUCAAAAUCGAAAAAGUGCGUAUUUUUUUAUGUAUUUAGACUUUUUCUUCUUUUCUGUUUCUCUUUUUGAAAAUGAAGAAUGAUAAAUCAAGGCAUCAAUUGUUUAGUAGAGCUGUAGAGAUAACCUAACUAGCAAGGCAUCGAUUGUUUAGUAGAGCUGUAGAGAUAAACGCCGAAUAUUUGUUUUCUGAAUUUAAUUUAACCUAACUAGCAAGUCAUUGAAAAUUCACAGAAAGCAGGUGCUAUAAUUUCUAUAUUUAUAUAUAAAUAAUAAUUUGUUUUUGUUUUUUCGAAGAGGAAACAAGUCCCUAUUAUUAAUAAUUAAAUAAGGAAAAACAAAAGCUCAUAGUACAAAAGGAUUAUACAACGAGCAAAAAUGAGAGACGGGUCGGCAGACGCACCCGGACAUCUCACUAGGUUGACAUCCCCCUUAACGCCCUCAUCAUGUUAUAUAUAAAUAAUAAUUGUCAAACAUUUAUCCUUUAUUGCCUCUAUUCUUUCCAUAUGUAAGAGGUCUUUCCCCGAAGACCUAAAUUGCACAUAUUUAAUGGGAAAAUGCUAUUAUUCACAGCAAAAUUAACAGCAGGGAACUUCUCUCAAAAAGAGAGAAAAAUAAUAUAAUGUAUGUUUAUAUUCAUUUCUUCAUACCAUUGAUAGCAAUCAACAACCAAGCCAGUACCAAGAACAUAGAUAUAGACCUUGAAAGAAAAAUAUAUUUCACAAGUACCGGAAAUUUGGACUACUAGCUCAUGUGGUUGAGUCAGGUCAUCCCAAACAUAGUCAACACUACAUCCAGAUCCUAGGACCUCUGGCUCCUCGGAAUCCUGUAAAUUAUCAUAUCAUUAAUAGAAAAGAAUACCAACAUUAUAUAGUAGUGCACAUCCAUCCACUAAUUGCACUAAUGGAACAGAACAACCUUCUGAUAGUAUGUAAUAGGAAAGUUGUGCAAACGAUUCUCAAUCCUGUAUGGAAGGUUGGUAUUUGGUGGUUUAUAGAAGUGCAAAUUUAAUGUUGAACCUUCUUCCACCACGUGAACUGCAGCAAAUUCAACUUUAGCCUCUUGCUGCUUUUUGAAUUUCAGGUAAAAUCGUCCCAAUGAAGCAAUGCAUAUUGGGCCAGACCGAAUUAAAUCAGAGCCAGUCAGGUAGAACUGAAUAAAUUUUGAUGAAUCAUCCAUAGAUCUUGAAUGCUUCUUAACAAAUUUUUCAAGUAGACUGAAUCCUCUACGCUUCUGAAUUCCGUCCUGCAGUUUUAGUGUUGCUUUCUGUUUACUGUCUACUUGGAUUAGGCUUCCUUCAUCACUCUUCAUGUAGGAUCAAAAAGAGACAAAAAAGAAGAAAAGGUUUAAAUACAUAAAAUUUAACAUUGACCAGAUUGCUGAAGAAAAGGGAGCUAAAAAAUGAAGAACAAAUUACAAACCUGUAAAUAACACUGACGAACAGUAAUAUUUUCUUUUGAUUCAUUAAUCACUACAUAUCGUGGGACUAUAGUAACAAGCUGGGACGGAACAACCAUAUUUCUCAAAAGUGAACCCAAUGAAACACCAAGUUUGAUACAAGAUACUGUGCCAUCUCCUUGUGUUUGCAAGCUUAAUUCUGUGAAGCCAGAUAGAGCAUCGAAGUCAAGUAGUGAUUCAGAUGUAUAAUUUUCUGACUCUACAAGCACCUUUUUGGACCUGUAAGAUAUUAUGGUGAUGGUGUUAAAAAAAUGGAAUUUUAGAAGACUAGAUUUUGUUGAUGUGAGACUGAGGAAAUAAAAGAGAAGAAUUAGGGGAAAAUUCCAUUAGACUUCCUAGUAAUGAUUCAUCUUACUUUAAGAACCAUGAACAACUGGAGUGUGCAGGCAAAGUUAUUCCUAAAUGUGGAGGACAGAAACCAUUCUCUUCUACAUCCCUGCAUACAUUCAUGACAUUCAUUUGUUACAGAAUAUGCCAAAGGUAUGCACAGGCUGUAAAACAAUGAACGUAAUUCAUGAACUCUUUUUAGAUGCACCUGUAAAGGAUCUUAUUGGAAAUAAGAAAAUGCAGCUUAAAAUUUGUGUCAUUCUUCAGUGCAUACGGUGUAAAAACAGUUACCUGCAAUUCAAAAUGCAUUAGAUUAUCUGCAGAUCAAAAUACAUCAGGUUUCCUACAUGAGGCAUAAUGCAAAUAGUUUCUGAGUCGGAGCUGUUGCAAAAUUUGAGCUCGUAACAACGGUAAAUUAAUAUCUAAAUGUUCAAUAUGUACCUUAAUGUUUGAAAAACAAAGCAAAUUGUGAUAUUAACAUAACCUCUAAUAUGCCUCUAUCGCCACGAGCCAAUCUCAAGGAAGCAAAGUACUUUCCAGCACCAAAAUCAAGAUCGAUGUCUAUGUAUGGGACUUUACUUUUCUGCUUCAGUAACUUCUUCACAAAAUCACCAGUAUCCACUGGUUUGCAAGUUGAACUUAUUUCAGUUAAUGUAACAGUAAAAAGAAUAAUGGCAGGGUUCACAUAGAAAUUUGCUUCCGAUUCAGAUGAUACAGUUGCUCUGCAUCCUAUAAGUGAAUUCUCAAUUAUGGUGCUAGGAUCUGCAAUAUGAUCAAGUGACAAGUUAAGUUAUUUAAAACUAUCCAUAUGGAAAACCAAUUUCAACUUUACCUGUCCCAGUUAAAUGCACAUGUAUAUUUGAAUACAAGGAAUUGAACACCCGUACGGUAGGAAGAAGAAAAAUUUGUUUUUGCACUUGUAGCACAUCAGAUGAAUGGCUGUCAUCAAACCUAUGCCCAGAUUUAUCAGGCAGCAUCGUAUGCACAUCCUUACCAAUGCACUGAAUCAGAAAGUGCAAGUAGUCUUCACGUCCAUCAUCAGCUAACAGCUUACAACUUGCGGUGCUGAAGGAGUACUUCUCCAACCCAACCAUUAAAGCCUUUCUGACUUUGUAGCUUAACUUAUCAAAAAUUCCGGACAAAUGGACUGCCUUUUCCCCUUUAAAAUCAUCUGACCAGUCAACUGAACUUGAGUUCUUAAAAUUCAUCGAUUCCUCAUGUAACAUUGGUCUAAAGGAGAGAAGGAAGUUUCCUGAAACGUUUUGAACCCAUCAUCAAUUUCAGAACAAGGUAAAAUGAAGGGAGAAUCAAAAUGUAAUGCAGUUUGAUUCUAUUUACUAAGACCGAAGUAAAAAUGGAUGGUUUCUAGCAUUAAGCGCAGGCUUCACAUACAUAAGGCUAGACUUCUGGUCCAUCAUGGAUGUUUGGGUCUUCUAUUCAUAUAUGUUAAAAAAAAAGAGGAAUAAUUUUUUUAUUUGUGUUAUUUUUUUAAACAAAAAAAUGCCUCAUCGUUAAAGCAAUGAAAUGAGACUAAUGCUUAAUACACUAUACUAAUUGUACCUACCCAAAAUAAAAGAGACUAAUGCUCAACAGUACAAUAACCUUCAAGAGGAUAGAUAAAUUACAAAACUACAAAAGGAAAAGAAACACUAUUGAAAUAGAAAAAAGAGAAGAUACCGAAAGCAAACCAGCUCCAGAAAAGAAACCAAAACUAGAUAGCACAUAAGCUAUAAAGCCAAAACCAACAGAAGUCCAAUGAGCAGACGAGGUAAGAAGUCCAAUAAGGGUGAAAGUGUGAGGAUCAAACCACAAAUCACGCCAACUCUAAAACUGCCACUUCUAAGUUUUUUUUUAAGAGGAGACAAGUCUCAAAUUUUAUUAAUAAAAACAAGCUUAAUGCUCAAAGUACAAGAGAAUUAUUCAGAGAGCACACAAAUAGAUAGGCUGUGGAUCAGACGCACCCAUAAAUCUCAACGAGGUUGACACCUCUUUACUGAAAGAGUCUUCACAGACGCCCAUACGAGUCUAUUGUGAUAACAAGGCUGCCAUUGCUUUGACCCAUAAUCCAGUUUUACGUGAUAGGACAAAGUACAUUAAAGUUGACAACCAUUUCAUAAAGGAGAAGGUUGAUGUAGGUGUAAUAUGCAUAUCUUAUCUUCCUACGAUAGAGCAAACGACGAAUAUGCUAACUAAAAGUCUUUCGAAAAGACAAUUCUAUAAAUGUUUUAGCAAGCUGGUUAUGGAUGAUAUCUACAAGCCACCUUGAGGGGGGAGUGUCGAAUUUCCUUUUAUCUUAUAAUUUUGUUUUUUAUUUAUGUCUAUAUUUUUCCCUUAUUUAUGUUUUCUUUCUUUGUUGUUGGUCUUUCUUUAUAUAAGAAGACCUUGUAUUUGGUUCAAUAAAACAUAGGAAUAAUAUUACAUUAUUUUUACUUCCCAUUUUUAAGUUGGUAUCUGAGUACGUUGCUUCAAGAUGUCCUAGGUUCAAGCCUUUGCAAUAUUAUUUCCUCCCCAAUUAAUAUACAUUUUCAAUUGUUGGGCCUCCUUCAUAUUUUGAGCCCACAAGUAAGAAGGAGCGUUAGAUAUUAUAUUAAAUUUGUCUUCACCCAUAAGCUUAAGCUUUUGGGUCAAUUGGUGAUUUAAGACGCCCUCAUCAUCUCCUCCAAAUAAAUUGCCACUUCUAAGUUGCAACUACUAGGAGAAAAAUGUGACAUCAUAAGGACAAAGCAGUAAGACCUAGGCACUUAAACCAUAGACAUCUGCAAAACACGUUCAAUUUCAAGACAAAACCACCAAGAUAUCUUUAACUGGAGAAGAAUGAGGAAGUGAUUUCACCUAAAAACUGAAAAUUUCCAUAUAAGCAGAGAAUUUGACAGGAGUUAUGGGUGACAAAUCUACAUCUGGAAUUUAGCUAGUUAUAGCAGCUCACACUCCAUUGAUUCUUAAUCAACUAUGAAUUUGAAUAUACCUCCUACCAAAAUGUUCGGUAAAAUAAAUGGAAAAAAAAGUAGAAGCAAGUACUCACGAAGUACAUAGCGAACUAUUUAGCUUUCCAAAGUAAAUGAAAUGUAAAUUCACUUUCUUGCAUCUGACUUUUGGAACCCCAAAAUCCAAUUAACCUAAAAAUUUAAUCCAAGAAAUUUACACGAAUAUUAAUAUCGAUCACCAUAGAGGCCACCUAUCAUGAAGGACAGCUUGUUAUUUCAUGCACUUGAAAUCACCGUAAAAUAGUCACUGUUGUUAUUAUUAUUUAUUAUUAUUAUCGUUCUUUCACAUGGACAUAGAAAGAAUACGUAAUAAAUGAAACAGCAUAAUGAUGAAAAACUAUCUUGGCAAAAAACUCAAUAGAUUAGGCUUACCACAUACCAAUACUUAAAGAGUUUAAUGCUUUUCUUGAUCCACCAGACGAAUUUAAAGCAUCAAACAUUGCCAUUGAAUCAUCAAUCACAUCUUCAGAUUUUAGCAACACAGAAGCACUUUCAUCUUCAUUUGGUUGGUUUCGUCGAAAUCGAAGUUCCAUUGUUAGUCCACUUUCAUUAUGUAUUCUCGUCAUAGGGGAAACCACAAUGGACAAACCAUCCUGCAAAGUAGAGGGGCAUAAGGGUUGUUUAUAGUGCAAUCAUUUUCAAGAAUUGUAAACUCAAUUGAAACAAUUUAUUCACAAAGUGAUACAAGUUACCUCAGGAUGAUGAGAAAUGUCAACCACAAUAAGCGGCCCUGGAUAAGUUUUGGAAUCUAUAGAAAUGAAAAGUGGACAUGAACAUCCUCAGCAACAUCACCAAGAAAAUUGCCUCAAAUUAGCAAUAAAUUAAGAAUAUGAAAAUCAAAAUUUCGUUUGAAAUUGAGUAGCAAUCAUAUAGUAAAAGUGUUUUAAAAUGUCUUUCACCUUUUUUUUUUCAUCAAGUAAAUAAGUGUGAUUAUCAAUAAAAAUAACAAACCUCUUUUUCCACUAUGAGUUGUAAUUUUAGGACCCCAAGCAUCGCUAUCAAUAAAAGUAACUUAAGUAAACGAGGAUGGUGCCAAUUGACCCAAAGACUUGAGCUUAUGAGUGAAGACAAAUUUAAUUAUAUAUCAUCUAACAGUUUCUCCAUUUGAUCUAGUUGAUUCCCUUCCCUCCUUUAACUUUGUUCAUUAUGGUUGUUUGGUUGCAUUAUCAGUUUUUCCAGAGUCGCAACUUGAUAUGAACCACCAGGAAAAUUUAUUGUCAAUGAUUUAGUUUUAGGGGAGCCUGGGCUUCAAACUUUCCACCUUACUGUAGCCCACUCAAUGUUUGGGUGUCUGAUGAUAAUAAGUGAAGUUUCCAAUUACUAUAACUCACAAUUAACUACAAUAAAGCUAUUUGAAAACUUUCAUUGUCCAUAGAGUCUACUGUUUUGUAAGCAUAUUAUCUUAUAGGUUAUAACUAUGUCCUCUAUAUUUCUAUUCAUUUUCUUAUUUUUAACGAGUUCUGUAUAUGAGACCUAAGUUGUAUUUUCUUGAAAUAUAAAGAAUAUUAUAUUUAUCUGAAAAACACAAUAAUAAGCAAACAAGUCAAUUACCCGUAAUAAAAAAUAAGAAAUUUGAGAAUACCUUUUGAAGAUUCUAUUCUUGUUCUCCAAGCAAAUGUUUGGGCCUGUAACUUGUCAAUAUGGAUAGGAGUUGUAAAAUUUUCAGUUUCACAAAGUUGAAAUGAAAUAAUUGGUCCACUCUCAAGAGAUAGGUCUGGUGAUCCUUGCCUUGUAAACAUGAAAUACCUCCGAGAUAAUUAAUCUCAAACAAUGACGAACAAACAAAAGAAUCUAUAUAACUAUAUGAACUAUCGCAAGGGAAACAAAUACCGCAAGAGACUGGUAGCUGACAACUACAAUCAUAAUGUCGUUAUAAGUCAAAUACAUAAUACAUACUAGUUUUCCGUGAAGCAACAAAUGCCCAGCUAAUGUAAUAAUUGAAUCCUUUUUCUCCCUUAUGAUAAUUUUUGGAGGUAGUUAAUUGUUUCAAAAUGCCAACUGCAGUUUUGAUUUUGAUGCACAGGAACGCUGUUGUUACUAUAUUUGUUUCCAGCCAUUGCUACCAGAGGCUUCUAAAGUGCCUUCGGUUGCUUGUGUUGAUUUUAUGGAAUAAAUCUAUAUUUCAUUCAUUACUUAAUAGAGAUACAAGCCUAUAUAUACCAUAGAGAAAUACACUUAAGGAAAUAAUAUCAAAUAAUAUCUCCAGAAUAAUAUCUCCUAACAAUAAUAUCUCCUAAGAAUAAUCUAAUUAUAUUAAUAGCUUGUUAUUCUGAGUUUAUUAAUAAAAUCCUUUCCAACAUCCUUUUCCUUUCCACAGGCAUUAAGAUUUUGAAAUCACUAUUGAAUGUCAAGAAUUUUGUAUUCUUUUUUAAAAAAAUUAAAAUCAAAUCAAAUAGCUGGAAAACAGAAAAUUCAAUCUUUAUUUUUCACAAGAAAUGUUUUCAUCGAUGAAAUGAAAGGAGAGACAAAUGCUCAAUAGAUACAAAACUCUACAUAGGAGACAGAAAAAUAAACAAGAAGCAAACCAUUCAACCAAAACAUAAUUAAAACGAUUCCAUAAGCAGAAAAUUACACAACAAAAUGAACAAAGCAAUCAUCAGCCUUUGAAUCCUAAGAAGUUUACCAAUCUACUAUCUCGCUCCUUGGAUCUGAUGUUCAAUUUAUUAGGAGUAUCCAAACCCCAUCCCCUAAAGAAGUUUUAUCUUCUUCCGUAGAUGACGAGGAAUCAGUGGUAAGUGUGAGCAGUGAAGAAGGAGAAGUUCCUUCCGAAGAACCAGCGUAACGGGAGUUCCUUUCAAAGGAUAUAUUUGAUGGUUUGUUUAGCGCCAAUGUGCGCAAAUUACUGAGGGGGCCUUAUUUAUAAAAAAAAAAAACCUUUUCUAAUUUGGGUUAAUUUGAUAAAAGCGAUUCUAGCUGAGAUUUGGUUCGAAUGUAACCAACGCAUCUUCCAUGAUAAAAAAGGGAAUUGGAUUGACAUCGUAAAGAUUUCUAAAAGAAACGCAGCAGCUUGGUGUUCUUCAAAUGCAGAAUUCAAAGAUUACUCCAUUCAAGACAUCUGCCUCAAUUGGACCGCCUUCAUCGGAUGAGUUUCAUCGUAGUUUUCCCCCGAUUGCCAGUUCAGAAUUAGUGCUUUUGUAGUUUGGAUGGGUUUUAUAUGUAUUUCUGCCAUUAUGUUUGUACUUUUCAGUCUUGCUUUUAUCUACUGUAGGUAGCUUCUGUAGUUAUUUUAGUUGUUACUUUGAUCUUUUCAUGACCUUAGUAUUAUUUUUGUACUUUGGUCUUUUCUUUGUAUUUUGGAUAUGAUGAGGGUGCUAUGGGAUGUCAACCUAGUUGAGAUGUCCAGGUGCACCUACUGAUCCUAGCCCUAUCUAUCUAUCUCGCUCUCUCUCUCCCCUUUCUUGGCUUUCCUAUUAUUCUCAUUGUAUAGCUCUUUUGUACAUUGAGUUUAUUAAUAAUAAAGAAGCUUGUCUCCUUUUCAAAAAAGAUAAAUCUGCUGAGUCGUCCUCCCAAAUUCUUGGGCAAAAAUCGUUAUAACUCAAAGAUUCAUUGAAGUGGGCCCAUUUUCCUUUAUUCAUUUCAUUUAAAGAUUCAAAAGAGGACUCUUCGACUAUUGGAAUAUUAAAAACAGGGUCGUUAGAAGUGGACCCCACUGCCUUCUUGCAAUAGCUGUCUGACUUAGGUUUAGCAAAAUUCAAAAAAGGGGCUGUUCAGUUGCUUGUACAUUCAAUUCGUCUUCAACCUGAUUUCCUGCCACUGUCUUCAUCACCAGCGACGGUGGGAUGGUCGAAAAAAUCUUUAGAAUUUCAAAUGGAUUUAUGCUUCUAGGGAGAGUUGCAAACACUAAUUUCAAGAUUUUCUGGACUAAUGGAAAGGAGGGAUCAAAGUCUUCAUCAAUCAUAACUUCUCUAAUCCUCAAACAAUCAAGAGAAUUAUUAAAAUCAUCUUAUAAGUUAGGGGCUUUGAGGGGAAUAUUAUGGUUUAGGAAUUCAUAAUCUCCAAAAUGAAGAUAUAUAUUUCCCCUCUUUAGAUCAGUGAUUUCAAUUGUGCAAGGCACAAAACCACAAGGAUUCUUCUUAACUUGAAUCCGAGCUUCACUAACAUUAAUUAAUUUUAGAGUUUCGGAGACUAUAUCUAAGAGACCUCCAAAAUGAUCUCCAAUGACCUUAAAGGUACUUCUACACCAAUGAAGGUUUUUAAUUUUGAGCCAACUGCCACAACAUCUUUCGAAUUUGAGAUGAAAAUUCCCCAGGCUUGCCAUUUUCCUUCCUCAUAGAUGAGAUCUAAAAUUGAUCCUUGGUCAAUGCUAAUGAGGGCAUUCUCAUCCUAUAAAGGAUUUAUAACAAUUUUUUAUUGGAAAAAAACUUCCAACCUCUUACGGAUCAGUUUCCGAGGCAAAUAACUUUGUUAUAAUUCAUAAAUUUUCAAAAUUGACUUUCACGACUUCAUGAUUUUUAAUCAGCCAAUGCUUCUAUUUUGAAGGGGGAAGAUGGACUGACUUUUGAACCUUCCUUUUUUUACUAGGAGUCUGGUCAGUUACCUUAUAUUUAGGUCUUAGAACAGGGGAACUGGAAAGACUUGAUUUUGCCACUUCAACUUAACUUAGUUUCAUAUUCAAAUUCGGAGGAGGAAUCUUGAGGGAAUUAUUAGAAAACCAUCUAGCAUAAUCCAGUUUUUCGACAAACUUAUCCAACAUUGAGCAAAACAACUUCCAGCCUUGCUUCUCACUACCCAAGCACACUCUGAUAUUGAAGAGAGCCCCUGAAUAUGGCCAAUGAUCACAGCGCAGUAUCUAACCCGACUUAGCUUGAAACUUUGAAAUUCUCAAUCUGCCUCUGUCGAUAUCCCCAAAUUUCCUAAAGUGUCUACCUACCAGAAAACUGAUAAGAUCAAUUAACGCUGACCAGAUCCAUCUAAGUUGGCAAAGGGAUAGAGAGAUGCUUCUGUCAGCUUCUACAUCUUCAAUAAAGCAACAAUCUCCUUCUUGCCAAAUGCAGUAGUGUGACUGGUCAAUUUUACAGCUAACCACCUCCAUGGUGAUCUCUGGCGGCCGGAGAGGGGAGAUCGGAAGGAGUGGGGUGGAGAGAGGAGAGAGAGAACUUUCCUUUUUUUAGGCCCUAUGUUAAAUCACAGUUAGAUCCAAAAGUUUAAAUAAAUAGGUUAGAAAAAAAAAAUUCAAGUGCCUGGAUACAAGAGCUAAAAAGUAAGUAUAUGCUAAUUAAAGUACCUCAAAUAGAUGAAAUCAUGAUCAAAUUUUCCUAUUGUCCGACUCUUCUUGUUGUCAUAUUGACAAUGAAGAUCGACCCCAAAUUGAUUUUCAACCUGUCAUAUAAAUGCAGAUGAAAAUGCAGGCCAGUCUAUUCUUUUUAUAACUUGUGUAGAUUCGCAUAUAACUUUUGUCUAUCAAUGAUUAUAUCAGUUCUUCCCUCCAAUUGGAUCUAUUAAAUUUCUUAUUAGACAAAAAUUUCUACAAGUUCCAUCCCAUCAAUCAUCUUAUUGAAUUUUUCAUAACAAAUAACAUCUUGAAAAGCAAACCUUGCAACAGUUUGGACGAAUGAUGGAACUUCUCACUGCAUAAGGACCAGCCAAGUUUAGUUUCCCAAUGACAAAGAGCACUACAUCCAGCGAGGUCUCAUUUAAGGAUAUGUCCAACUACCAAUAUACCACAAAAGCAUAUCAGUGAGGUGUGUAAUAAAAGAACAAUGGGUUGACUGCAGAGUCAAGAAACUGCUUAAAUUCAAUGACAGUCACUGUUUCCUGAAAGAAAAAGAUAACACCUUCUUCAUUCUACAAUAAAUCUGCACAGGAACCCCACGCAAAAUUGUUUCUGUGCUACUGCUUUUAGCACUGAAACGGUAAUAAAGGCAAAAGUCGACUGGGCUAAGAAUCCAUUGCCUGCAUUACAAUUCAAGAAAAUAUUAUGAAAAAGAAUCGAAAUUAAAUUAAGGGGAAUGGACAAAAGAUAGAUCUUCAAAUGGCCUAGCAUCAAGGUAACAGCAUUCUUCCACUCGGCACAAGUUCUCACCAUAAAUGUCUUCGUGCAUCAAAAUAAUGUAAUUCAGCAGUGGAUGUGCAAAAAACCCUGGUUUUAUUUGAUGAAAUUUGUAGGGUCAGUUCCAUAUUACUGAGACAACCACAAAUGAGAGGCAAUAUGUCACUCGUAUCAGAUAUGUCAUGAACAAUGGUGAGAGAAAAAUAACUUGAAAUAACUAUUCUUGGAAACAUCCCAUUAGUUCCAGAUAAUCUCUCAUCCAGGUUUGAAUUUUGUUCACGACUGGUAUCGGUGGUCCCAGUAAGAUAAUGGUUUGUAUCAGUAACACCAUGAAUGGUAGAAAAAUCACGAAUAAUUUUGAACUUAAAAGGAUUUCCAGGUUUUCUGACAAACUUUGGAAACCCAUCAACAAAGGCAACACCACAGUCAUUGUUCUUGUUCACUAGAUAAAAACUUCUUUUAGAAAACUGGUUGUAUGCUUCCCAGUCCGUAUCACCAUUUUGACCUCUAGGUGUUGAAGAAAAUAUUGUCCAUAGUGUCGUAUCCCUAUCAUCAGUGUCAGAUAUGUUUACAACUCCAGAUCCGGGAUAACAGUUCAGUCUCAAUUGUUUGUCUGCAGCAUUCUUUGUAUACAAUGAUAUCAAGGAGAACCAAACCGAUGACGAGAAUCUCCUCCCUUUCUUGUAUUCAACCUGCAAGCUCAUAGUCACUCAAAUGAAAAGGAAAGUCAUAGAACACAAAAACAGAAGUAAAAAAAAGAGAAGUGUUGGAAUUCUUUCCUUUUUUCUAGGCAUUUUCCUUGUUAGAAUCCUAGAAUAAUUAUGGAAAGAUUAUGGAAAUGUUUUCCUUAUUUUUCUAAAUCUUUUCCUUUUUUAUUCCAUUGUAUACUCUAUUUAUUCUCCUUUGUACCUAUUGUUUUAUUCAUUAGAAAAUAAUAACAACAAACAAUCGUGGUUUUUCUCCCGGUACUCGGGUUUCUACGUAAAUUGGUGUGAACUCGUUGUCUCUCCUUUCAAUAAGAAGAAACCUAUAUUUUUUCAACGAACGUCAAUGAAAUAAUGAAAAGAGACAAAGGUCAUUAGUCCAACACAAAAGACAAAACUAUUCAAGUAAGGUCAUUAGUCCAAUCCAACAUUGUUUUGUUAGAUUAUUGUACUUGUUUCCCUCACAGUUUAAGCCUUCAAAAAACAGAAAAUUUUAAGAGAAUUCUCAAAUACUAUUCUAUUGUAUUCACUAAGCUCAUACAACAUUCAUAAGAAAGCUCAGAUGGUCAUUUAAGAAGAGGGAAGAUGUGACAGCCCCCUUUUGGUCCACUCAAACCAUAUUCUCCAAAUGGAAAAGGGGAGAUGUGAUAUCUCCAUCAUUGUCCCUCGUUGUGUCGUCAUCUUCAUAUUCAUGGGUUUUCUGCUUCAUUUUUUGUGGAUUUUCACCCUUUUUGCUUGUUGUUGGCCUUCCUUCUCCGUUGUCAAGCUUGUGGGUAAAGAAAAAUUUAAUUAUAUAUCACUAACACUCCCCCCACUUGUGGGCUUGAAAUAUUUGAAAGGCCCAACAAAUGAAAAUUAAUUUUAAUUGGAGAGGAAACAGUAACGCAAGGGGUUUGAACACGAGGAGGUCCUCGACCACCUACUCUGAUACUAUCUUAAUCACCAAUUGACCCAAAAGCUUAAAUUUAGAUUCUUGUGUUGCUUUUAAGUACUAGUUACAUACAAGGUUUAAGGCUUUUUGCUUUGUUCGAUCUUUCUUCUCUUGUAAGGGCUGUGAUUUUUUGUACUUUCCUUCCUCCUUUUUAAAGGUUGUGUGUUAGCCUCGGCUCACUCAACAUUGACAUUAGUUUGUAGGAAAUGAUAAGUACACUAUGGAGGUAUCUGUGAAAUUUCAGGGUACAUAAUGAUGUUUUACAUAAGAAAUAUAUAGACCUCAAGAAAACCACUAAAGGAAAAUUCAUAAAUGGAAAACACCAAAAAGGAAAAUAAUAAUGAAAAAUACUAAUAAUUCAUAAACCCCAAUUUUCCUUUUAACACCUUCCCUCAAACUCAAGGUGCUAGAAUCAUGAACUUGAGUUUGCUAAGAAGACGUAUGAAUCAAAUCAAUAGAUCUAGGAUAGAAUCAGAAACCCACAAAGAACAAAAAUACAAAGAACUUCUAGGCUAAAGACAAACCCACGAAAAACUUAUGAGAUAGAAACAUAGACCCUCGUAUAGAGAUCUAUAACAAAACUUAUGAAGAACAAAACAAAGAACUUCUGGGCAAUAAGAGAUUAGAACAAGAUCCACCGACUGAUUGAAAACGGAACAGAUACAUAAAAUAGAACGUAACAAUUGGGCUAACUGAACUAGACUCAAUGAUGGAACCAACCAACAGUAGACCAAACCGGUGAACCAAGACUGAACCAAUCGAACUAAUUGAAGAAACCAAACCGGUUGAGAAAAGCAUGAAUUUUCCAUGGACAAAGGGCUUUAACUCAUAAAAUCUAGAGACAGUUGUGCGAACACAAAUAGAGAAUGAAACUCAUGAUGUCAUAUGGAGACGUGAACUCCCCAAGACAGAUCUGGAGCGAACUAGGCAGCAGACUGGAGAAACCCAUGGAGACAGGUCUGGAUGGUGGAUAUGGAUCUGAGUGAUGGUGAGCUGAUAUGAAACAGACGCCAGAUGGGUCAAAGACGCACCAAUCUAGACAGAAUAUGGAAAAAGCUUUGGAAGAGCGUGCUAGUUUGAACUGGAAUGUUCGAUUUUGCAGCAGUUUGCCGGUGAGUUGGGUGGAGUUGGCACCGAAGAACGGCGAAUCUACAUGUGAGUCUACCUCCGUCGAUGGCUAGAAAAAUUGAUGGAGGUAGAGGCUGAACAAGGCUAGAGGCGGCAGUGGCAGCUAAAUUUUAAUAAUAUAAAACUCUAAAGCUCUGAUACCAUGUGAAAUUUCUAUAUUAUUGAAUAAAUCAUAAUAAUUCCAGAGUACAUAAUAAUGUUUUACAUAGGAAAUAUAUAGACCUCAAAGAAACCACUAAAGGAAAAUUCAUAAAUGGAAAAUAAUAAUGGAAAAUACUAAUAAUUCAUAAACGCUAAUUUUUCUUUAACAGUGUCAACCUAGUUUAGAUGUCUGGGAUGCCUCCUAAUCCUUAAGUUUUUGCUUACUGCUAUUUGUGUAACUCUUUUGUACUUUGAGCAUUAGUCUACUUCUGGUAUGGAGACCUUUUUAUAAAAGAAAAAGAAAACAAGGAUUCUUGAAGUUGUUCUAAUAAUUGCGUUUUUUGCAUCUGGCAUGGAGACAUAAAAAAGGAAACAAGGCUUUUCAUUGAGAAAAUUAAUGCUCGAAUUACAAAGAGACAUAGUAAGCAAAUAAAGCAAUUACAACCAAUAAGACAUUCUUAAAGAUGAAUCAAAUAUUUUAGCCGUGAAACAAUCAGGGUCAAGGCCAAAGUUCCUGUUUGAUGAAAAUAAAUUUUAGAAUUUUCAUUUUUCAGCUUAAUUUUGGGCCUUAUAUAAAUUGUGCUUUUCGUUUCUUGAAUGGUUUCUUCAUCUUCUCGUUUAAUCGAUCUUGUACUAGUAAGGAUACCCCUUUUUGAAUUCUUGGUUUUAGUUGUCACUGUUGUAUAGCCUUUGUGAUAGGCUUGGAAAGUACAUUUUUUAUUGUUUUUAGGAGAUGAUGAGGGCACUAAGAGUAUGUCAACCUAGUUAAGAUGCCCAGGUGCACCUGCUGAUCCUUAAGGUUUUUGUUGCUCAUUGUAUAAUUCUCUUGUAUUUUGUACUUUCAUCUCAUUAAAGAGACAUGUUUCCUUUCCCAAAAAAAAAAAAAAAAAAAAAAAAAUUAGAACUAGGAAUAGUUGUGCUGAGAUGGGGUUUUAAUCUAGAGGUAGAAAAACAUGAAGGCUUGUCUAUUUUGUGUAGAGUGCUUCAAAUAAAUGGAUAAAUUCUGAUUUAGUGGCCACCACCCUGCCAAGAAAACAGGUAUUUAAGUCACCUUUUUAAGCAAAAUCAGCUUAAAUUUUUGUUUCCAAAGGCUUCCUCUUCGCUUUGACGGAGAGCAAUUGGGGUUUGAGACUACUUGUUGAACUUUAUGCAUAGGAAAGCCUUCUCCCGUUUCUUUGAGAUUAUCAAGCAAAGGGAUGUCAACCAUAAUUUUAUUUGGCUCUUUUGUGUUGUGACACAACCAAAGAGGAUUUGUUUCUUGCUGUAAGAGCCUCUUUUAAACCCUUUAAGGUACUUGAAAGGCAUUCUAGAAUCUAGGUCAUCAGUUGUCAUAAUUGCUUAAAAAGUCAUCAAUCAUAAUGGUAGAGCUCUAUACAUAAUGCUACUUACACAAAAGAAUUAACAAAUUGGAGAUCACAGGUCUCACAUUAAUAUUUCCUAUAUGUUUCAUUUUCAUCCGGUUGGAUGAAAAAUUUUCUUUCAUUGCUACUUAGUCAGUGGGGAAAAAAAGAUGAGUUAUUGAAAGAAAAUAAAGAAGCAUUACUACUGUAAGAAGCAUAUUUCUCACUAGAAAUAAAACUAUUUCUGAAAAAGAUGGCCCAACUAUUUCAAUAGCCUUCAUAUCAGCUAAUGGCCAGGCAUUAAAUCCCAAGAGCUCUCAUCACAUAGACAAUAACAUCUUAUCAAAAUAAUAUAAGGACAUGGCUUAUUGAAAACUAUAUGCAGUAACUAGCAUCAAGUGAAAAGGAGAUUAAGCAAAAAGGAUAAAGUUAGAAUCUUAAAAGCGAAGGAAAAGAAAAACAUGCCAACAUUGAAUAAACCAAAUAGAUUCACAGAAUUACCCUGAAUAAAGCCUGGUCUCCCGCAAGAGAAUAGUGCAUUACACCAACUAAAUUGUAUCCGUCACAAUCUUCUACACGGAAGUACAUGUGCUGAUGGAUAUCUUGAAUUGCAACAAUCGCUCCUUUAUAGUUAAUGGAAAUAAUUAGCUCAAGAUAACAAAAACAAAACUGUACACUGUUGGUUAGAAACCUUCAAAUGAUAAAAUACCAUCAGGAACAAGAUCAGUGGUAAAUGUCUCUGUGUUAUUAGCAUCAACUUGUUGACCGCCAGACCAUUGCCUUUUAUGCUUAUUUGUCUUUUCCUUGUCAUACAGUCCAGAAAAUGAUGAAACCAAUAAAAAAAUUGCCUGAGGAGACAAAAAACAUAUACAUAAGUAUAUAACGAAGCAAAAGAGAAACAAAAAAGGUGUUGGCAAAGCUUCUUUUUGAAAUUAGGACUCACCUGUAUUUCAGAAUGAGACAAUAUGAGAUCCAACCCUGACAAAGAGCCUUUUCCAGCCCAAGCUUUACUUAAUAUGCCUACAUGAUCCCUACAUGUCUUUUCAAUUGACAAGGAAGCGAUUAAGUUCUCCAACAAAUAAUGCCGACAGCUAAAACAAAAAGGCCCAGUGAAAUGACUAUUUCCAGAAAAAAAUUUAUGAGAAACUGGAUGUUUGGAACUACUUGCAUCACUGUCUAUAUGAGCUCUCUUCGCAUGCUGAGAACUUGCAUCAAGUUCUCCAGCUACAGGGUGUGAAAACAAAUUUGAAAAAAAGUGAGGAAUUUGAAUACUGUUUUGCAAGGUUCCCUUAAUCUGUUGGGAGAGAAUUGACAAGUGAGAAAGACUAACUCUAAGUUCUUUCUUAUUAUCACCCAAUUGAAAUUUUAAAUUGGCAUCAACUUCAAUCACAAAUUCCCGAAUCACACCUGCAGAAAAUAACCAAUAUUGAAGUAGGGGUAUAGAUACUAUUAAAAUCAAACCAAAUAGAACAUCAUAUACCAGAUUCAUCGUUUACUACGAGAACAAGAGAAAUGUUGGAGACAUUGAGGAUAAAAGCUUCCAGAAGUUUCCCUUUAACUCUUAAAAGAUAGUCGGUAGUCUUGUCAACCAUAUUGUCGGUAGCAUUUUCCUCCAAUCUGGUGAUUUCUGCCAUUUCUUGACCCUUCUUAUCUUGUUGAUCAGAAAAUUGCAACAACGACAAAAGACUCCCUAUGGCAUGAUAGUAUUUAUGGAAACAAUUGAUGAAGAAUGCCAAAGACAACGUUUCCAGGAAAAGAACACCACCCUGUCAAUUAGCACCAUGUUUGUUAAAUUACUUCACAGUUCGGAAACCUAGACUUGUAGUAAUUAGUAAAUCAAAGCAUUCUUCCAUUUUUGGACAACCAACGGAAUUUUUAUCCAUAUGAUGAGGGGGAAAAAAAAAGAGGAAAAAGAAACAGAUACAAAUCCCAGGGGGAUUUAUUUGUCGCUUUAUAGAUAAAUUACAUGCAGUUUGAAAGCCUAGACUUGUAGUAAAUCAAAACAUCCUUCCAUUCUUGGACAAUAAAUGAUAUUUUCAUUGAAUUGAUUGGAAGAAAAAGAAACAACGAUGCAACUAAAGAAAAGGGAAGUAAUGACUCUUUAAUUCACAGAACAAUCACCUGAAUCUUCCAACGAAAGUCUUCCCCAACAGAGAGAUCUGACGAAAGUUUACUCAGUUGAUGUGCUUCAAUUAAGAUGUCAUACACUGAGCACCUCGUUAUGAGAAUCCUACUAAUUGCAAUAUUUACAAGCAACUGAAAUUUUGAAAAUUGUGAAACAAAGUCCAGAUCCUGAACAAAGACAGACCGUCCACCUGGCCCCUCAGAAUCAACUGCCAUGUCAGAAUUCUCAACAUUCAAUCCAUUAUUUCUAGAAAUAGAACUGUGGUUAAUAUUUCUCAGCCCUUCUGAAGAUGAGCCACUACGUGAACUCAAAGAUAACUUAAGCAUGAAAUCAGAAAGAGAGAUCUGAUGAUAGAAGUAAAGAUUGCAAUUAAGUAAUUGCGUCUGCAGAGAUUUGGGUACAGAUUGAUCUAUAUCACUUUUGUGAUACCUAAAUAUAAAUGAAUUGAUAUUAGAGAUAUCAGUAAUAAUAUCAACUCUAUCCUCUUCACAUGUUACCUUGACUCUACCCUGAUCAACAGACAUCCAAAGUCCACAAUCAGGGGAAUUGAUCUCUGCCAUUUUCUGGCUAUUUGAAAAGAUCUCAAAACUGUUGAAAGUGUCACUCCUCCGGGAAUUAUGAAGAACGGCAUCGAUCCGCUUAAUCUUAAAGGCCCCAUGAAUCAUUGAACUAGUAUGACAACUUAUUGAGGCUUCUUUCACAUAUUCAAACUUCGGCAUGGGCUUUGUGAGCAUGCUAUUUUGUUUCAUGAAUUCCUGUGGAUACCAACUACAAGAGCCAAGAUAAGAAAUUGCAGAGGACAAGUUUCCUAUGACCUGACAAAAAUAACACUUCGGGUAAGAAAAUGAAGACUGAGAGACAUAAUCCAGUGACAAGAAAUGCAUGAUUCUGAUUUAGCAACUUCAAACCAUCUGUGAGGGGAUUUAACAAGCAUGGAGAGUCCCAAAGAAAAUAACUUCGCCAGUAGUUAUCUUUACGUUAUCUUUGUUUAUUCAACCAAAGCAUAAUGUUAGAAAGAAUUUAAACAGCCCAAGGAUACUGCAAAUAACAGAAGAAAAAUAUAUAACUUGAGAAAAAUAUUACCCAAUCGCAUUAAUCAUAUUUCUUGAGUUGAGUAAUACGAAUUACACAAGAAAAAUAUAGGUGUUCAAAAAAUUAUACAACUAAUUACAUUAUGAAAAUAAUUAUAAAAUGUUUAAGAUAAAGCACGUGAAAAGAAGCAUGGGAUGGAUUUCAGUCGUUCCUCAUUAAUCAUCCUAACACCAAUAUGAAGGUCAAAACAUAUACAAGAAAACAAAAAUCAAUUUCAAAUAGAACAUCUAUCUAGAGGACUUUUGGAAGAGAAUGGAUGAAAUUUGGUCUCCAGGCUAUGAAUUUGUGUUUAAGCUAAUGAGUGAAAAAAGAUUUAGUUAUAUCAUCUACCACUCCCCUCAUUUUUGGGCUUGAACUAUGAAGAAAACCCAACAAGUGGAAAUCAAUUUAAUUGGAGAGGAAAUAACAUGGUAGGGGAUUGAACAUGAGAUCUCUUUGAACCACAUGCUCCGAUACCAUAUUAAAUCACCAAUUAACUAAGAAACUUAAGUUCAUGGGUAAAGGUAAAUUUAAUUAUAUCAUCUAACACUCCCCUCAUUUGUGGCCUUGAAAGGUUGAAAAGACCCACAAGUGGAAAUCAUAUUUUAAUUGGAGAGGAAGUAAUAUCCCAAGGGUUUGAAUAACAAGACCUCUAAUGGAACACUAAGAUUGUGUUCUAUCAAGGGAACUUUUAUUGAUAAUUAAACCAACGAUGAAUAUAAUAUCAAAUAAGAAUAAUAAAAACGAAUUGAUCUCAAUUCGGUUACAAUAUCUCUAUGUUACCUUCUCUCUCAAAGGUGCAUAGAUUCCUGACUAAAAAUCUCCCCAGAACUAACUGCCCUUCCCUCCAAUAAUAUUCAAACCUAUUUAUAAAGCAUAUCCUAACUAAUUCCCCUAACUAACUCACACGUGCCUAUACUAAUAUUCACACGUGCCUACACUAAUCCUUCUUCCCUCGUCUACUGUAUUGGUGGAUGAUAGGGGUUUAUCAUUACAUUCCUUCUCCAAAUUCACCUUGCCCCUCAACUCAAGGUGAAAGUCCGGAAACAGCCGCUGCAUUUCUUCAUAGUCUUCCCAUGUACCUUCGUGUCUAGGUAAGCCUUUCCAGCUGAUCAGCACAUCCCAUCCUCCAGUAUUGUUUUUCAAGUAGCCAUAAAUGUCAUCCGUUACUGCUCGCCAUUCAUGGGUUUCAGUCAUAUAAGGCAUAUCUGACGACUCAACUUAAUGAUUGCCCAGCAUUUUCUUCAGUUGGGAAACAUGAAAAACAGGGUGAAGGGAUGAUGUCUUUGGCAACUCUAACUUGUAUACAACCGGGCCAAUCCAUUCUAUGAUCUUAUAAGGACCAAAGUGUUAUGAUAUAUAUAUAUAUACAUAUGUCCUUUAUUGUAAUUUUACAUAGUCUCUAGGGUUUAGUUUAUUCUCUAUAUAAAUAUGUAACAUUGCUUUGACUCAAUUAAUAAUAAGACAGAUACGUUUCUGAAUUCUAAAUUACACAAAGAACUUUGAUGACAACUUCUCAUUUCUUCUUUUCCGAAAUGAAACCUUGGCCUAAUUUAAGAAAGACCAAAUCUCCUACCAUGUAUUCCACAUCUCUUCUCUUCAUGUCAGCAUGUUUCUUCAUCUUUUCUUGGGCUAUCCGCAAGUGCUCUUUCAAAGCUCCCAACAUAAUGUCCCUCUCCUUAAGCUGCUCAUCCAAUGCUGAAUUAGGAGUGUCUCGAUCAUCAUAAUACACCAAGAGGGGAGGUGAACGCCCGUAGACAGCUUGAAAGGGUGUGACCCCUAAGGAUCUCUAGUACGUCAUGUUAUAUCAGUACUCUGCCCAAUGCAACCAUUGUAUCCACUCUUUUGGUCGUUCUCCACAAAAACAGCGAAGGUAUGUCUCCACUCCCCUAUUGACCACUUUCGUUUGGCCGUCUGAUUGAGGAUGAUAUGUUGAACUACGAUUCAACUGGGUACCAGCCAACCUAAACAGCUCCUUCCAAAAGCCACUCAAGAAAACUUUAUCUCUAUCUGACACUAUGGAUUUAGGAUAUCCAUGUAGUCUGACUAUUUCAUUUACAAACAGAUCAGCCACGGUCUUAGCCGUAUAGGGAUGUUUCAAGGGUAGAAAAUGCCCAUAUUUGCUGAAUCUAUCUACUACCACGAAGAUCACCUCAUAUCCCUUAGAUUUCGACAGCCCUUCCACAAAAUCCAUAGAAAUGUCCCUCCACAUACUAUUAGGAAUUUCUGAAGGUAACAACAACCCUGCAGAUGACAAUGCCAUUGUUUUAUUUUUCUGACAGAUCAAACACUCCUCACAAUAUUUCUUCACAUCGAGUUUCAUACCCUCCCAAUACAGCUCACCGGCCAAUCAUUUAUAAGUUCUAAGGAACCUGGAAUGUUCCCCAAACACAGAGUCAUGGCAAGUAUGGAGAAUCGUUGGGAUCAAUAUCGAAGACUUGGAAAUAAUCAACCUGUCCUCGUAUCUCAACAUUCCCCGUUGUAUGGAAUAAUUGCCUGCUUUGCCAUCCUCUCCAUCCGCCGCUUCCUUCAUUAUCACUUUCAGUCUGUCAUCCUUUUCAACUUCUUCCUUGAUUACCUUCAAAUCAAUCAAAGUGGGUGUUGUGAGGUUGCAAAGAUGGACAACCAGAGGCAUUCUAGACAGGGCAUCCGCCACUUGGUUCUCCAAUCCAGGCUUGUAUACCACUUCGAAGGAAUAUCCCAAAAGUUUAGCAAUCCACUUUUGGUAUUGUGGCUGGAUCACUCUUUGUUCCAGUAGGAAUUUUAGGGAACGCUGACCCGUAUUUAUUGUAAACUUCCUCCCUAGAAACCUUUCAUACACCGGUUUCGCUCAAUCCCUCAUAGCCAAGGUGUGACUGAAAAAGGCAAUGGGUCGUUUGGAUUGAAUGAGCACUGCUCCUAUGCCAUAGUCGGAGGCAUUAGUCUCCAUUUCAAAGGGGGUGUCGAAAUUAGGCAAGGCUAAAACAGAAAGUCAUCAUGGCAUUUUGCAAUUUCUGGAAUGCUGUAAGGGACUCUUCAUUCCACUUAAAUCCACCCUUCUUAAGAAGCUGAGUUAGAGGAGCAGCUAUAGAUCCAUAAUGUUGGACAAAUUUUUUAUAGUACCCGUCAAUCCCAACAAGCCUCGGACCUCUCAAACAUUCUUAGGUAUCGGCCAUUCCUUGAUUGCUCUAAUGUUCUUCGGAUCAACCUCAACUCCUUGGCCAGAAAUGAUGUGCCCCAGGUAAUCUAUGCGUGUUUGUGCAAAGCUACAUUUCUUCUAGUUUGUGUAGAGCUCAUUCUUCCGCAACACUUCUAAAGCCUUUCCCAAAUGCAUGAUGUGUUCCCCGAAGUCCUUGCUGUAAAUUAGGAUAUCAUCAAAGAACACAAGAACAAAUUUUUGCAAAUAUGGUCUGAAUAUAGAAUUCAUCAAUGACUGAAAUGUAGAGGGUGCAUUAGUUAAGCCAAAUGACAUAACCAUGAACUCAUAAUGGCCUUCAUAUGUCCUAAAUGCUGUCUUUUCAAUGUCCUUCCCACACAUCCAAAUUUGGUGGUACCCGGCUUUCAAAUCGAUCUUAGAAAACCAUGUACCACCAUUGAGUUCAUCGAAGAGUUCCUUAGUUACUGAUAUUGGGAAUUUGUCCGAUAUUGUCACGUUAUUCAACGCUCAAUAGUCCACACAGAAGCGCCAACUCCCAUCUUUCUUCCUAACCAACAGAACGAGGCUAGAAUAUGGGCUGCUACUCAAUCGAAUGAUUCCUGAUGCCAACAUCUCAUCCACUAAUUUCGCCAUUUCUGCCUUUUGCUGGAAUGUAUACCUAUACAGCCUCACAUUCACAGGUUCGGUCCCUUGUUUCAAAUGUAUAUGAUGUUCAAUACUCCUUUCUGGUGGUAAUUGGUCAAGCCAAGUGAAGACAUCUUUGAAUUUCUUCAAAACCACAGACACUGAUUCUUCCACGAUCAACACCUCUUCUAAAUCUCCUCCUUCGGCAGAUGAUUCAUCCCACUCCAUGGCUCAGCAUUCCACCAGAAAGUCUUGGUCAGAAUCUUCCCAAGUCUUCAUCAUAUUCUUCAAGCUUACCGUAGUUUAACGACCUCCCUUAAUAAUCCCUUUCUGUCACGGUGCAUAAAAGUCAUAGUUAAAUUCCUCCAAUCUACUUUCGGAAUGCCAAGAGAAUAAAGCCACUGCAUCCCCAAUACAACGUCCACACCCCCUAACUCCAAUGGUAGAAAAUUCGCUACCACAUUCCAACCAUUCAUUUUCAAUUCUACAACUUCACAAAUUCCCUUACCUUUAAUAGCGGUGUCGGACCCUAAGAUCACUCCAUAAUGAGAAGUGUCUUUCGUCGAUAUCUAUAAACUCUUCACCAAUUUCUCAAGAGAUAAAAUUGUGGGUAGCCCCACAGUCCACUAAAAUCACCACUUCCUUGCCCUUGAUCUCCCCUCUCACCUUCAUAGUACCCGGUUUGACAGUCCUACAACAAAAUUAAUGGAUAAUUCCACAGCAGCUUGAUCUUCCUCAGCUAUUCUCACCAUUUUUAAUUCUUUCUCAUCCAUCUCCAUAUCCUUUAUAAUCUUAAAUUCCUCAUUAUCCUCCAUGACAACAUACAUUCGAAGUUCUCUUUUCUCCCUCAUUUUACAUUUAUGGCCAUGGGAGUACUUCUCAUUACAUCGAAAAUAGAGCCCCUUUCCUUUCGAGAUUGAAACUCUGCAUCAGACAACCUCUUAUUAGGUUCCUCCUUCUUAACUUCCCCACCAACCACUCCUCUCAAAGUGAUCAUCCUCAUGGGAAAAGUAGUACUGCCCUUAUUAUCAAUUGAAUUGGGGCUCACACCAGAUUUAGUACUUGUAGAAUAAGAAGGUGAGUAUUUACCUCCAGCAUAUCCUUUAAGGUUGGCUUCCCCACGGAUGAUCUCACGAUUCUCCGCCAACUGAGCUAAUUGCAUCAUCUGGGCUAAUCUGGUUGGUCUCUUCAAUCACCCUAUCUUGCAGGUCCGAUAAGGGGGCCAUCAGUUUAUCGAACAAGUUUCAAUAAUCCUCCACUGUCAUCUCUUGCCGAAUUUUUAAAAAUUGGCCGCAUAUAGAUCCUUCGCGAACUGAUAGGAAUCGCACCAAUAACCGUUCCUUCAAGUUCAGCCAAUCCACGAAUUUAUCCCUCUCUUCCUGUGCUUUGUACUAGUUCAGGGCUGGACCUUCAAAACUGAUAGACGCCACCAAUAAUUUCUCGACAUAAAUCAAUCUAUAGAUUUGGAAGAAUCUAUUGACUCGAAAUAACCAAGAAUUGGGAUCUUCACCGUUGGAUACUGGCAUCUCUAUUUUUUUAAUCUUAUUACGUUCUAUAUUUCCAUCCUCGCUUUCAGCUCUUCCUUUUGGCAUUUCGUCUCAAAUUCCCUUGUUGGACGUUCCUUCUCCUGCCUUGGCCUUCAUCGACGAUGUUUCGCGCAUACUUGGUUCGGCCUUUCGAUCUACCACGGCAGUUCUCUCCUUCGCUAUCAUUUCCAUAAACAUCAACAUCAUCUGCUGAUUUUUGUCCGACUAUACACUCAAAUUCUCCAGUGUCAUCGUGAUCGUCGUCAAUUUCUCCUCCAUUGCCAGCAAUUUGCUAAGUUCCUUCUUUAUGCCGAUCAGCUCGUUAUCAUAUGCUUCCAAUCUCUCUUCCUUCUGAACCAUCGUACUUGCGUUUCUUCCUUGGAUCAACCGCUCUGAUACCAAUAUGAUGGAACACUAAGAUUGUGUUCUAUGAAGGGAACUUUUAUUGAUAAUUAAACCAACGAUGAAUACAAUAUCAAAGAAGAAUAAUAAAAACGAAGUGAGAAAAUCUCAAUUUGGUUACAAUAUCUCUCUGUUACCUUCUCUCUCAAAGGUGCACAGAUUCCUGACUAAAAAUCUCCCAAAAACUAACUGCCCUUCCCUCCAAUAAUUCAAACCUAUUUAUAAAGCAUAUCCUAACUAAUUCCCCUAACUAACUCACAUGUACCUAUACUAAUACUCACACGUGCCUACACUAAUCCUUCUUCCCUCGUCUAUUGUAUUGGUGGAUGAUAGGGGUCUAUCAACCUCCUUAACCAACUUGCUUUAAUAAUACCUUAAAUUACCAAUUGACCCUAAAGCUUACGUAAAUAGAUGAAAGCAAAUUUAAUUAUAUCAUCUUAAUAAUUUGCACGAGAAAAAUCCAACAAAUCAUGAUUGCAACUCAAAGGUGAAAUUCAAGCAAGCCAAAUUAAAAAGGGAAAACCACAUGCACUAACAAGAAGAAGAAAAGAUGUACAAUGAAGGAAAAGAAGAAGAAGAAGAGACAAAUAGAACAUAUUCAUGUGAAAACAAAGAUGAAUGUGACAUGACCAAAAAACAAAGGUGGAUCAAACCUUCGUAAAUCACUGAUUGACCCAAAGGCUUAAGCCAUGAUGAACAAUGUUCCUUAUGGAGAAAAAAUUCCAAUGUUGAGCUUGAGGAACUCUAAGAGAUAAAUACUCAAAUACCUAGUGACAAUUAGUCAUAUGACUAACAAAAGAAUACUCACUUAUGGCAAUUUUUUUUGUUUCUCCACUAUUGUGAAUACUCGAGUGCUUGGCAAUUUGGGUUCUUUUUCUUUUUGUUUUGAUGGAGAUGAAAAUUUUCUAACAUCAUGAACUUUGAGAUCCUCUAACGCAAGGAUUUUGAAAAAAGACUUUUCUAUGGACCUCUGACACGAGGUUACAAUUACAGUGAGAGAAGUUUUAGGAUUAUAGCUCUCAUACCAUUUUAAAUAGUACAAGGUUCUAUCUCAACACCAGUUGGCCAUAAGAGAAGUAGCUCAUCCAUCUUAUAAGAGGUAUGAGAUCUUUAGUUUUUCCAACGUGGGAUUCUCAAAAUACCAUCUCAAGAUGGUACCUCUCAUGGGUUCACCAUUCUUGAUCUGAUCUCAAUUUAUUUUUAUUGGAUUGAAUACCCAUUUGGGCUCUAUGGGCUAUGAUACCAUAUUGCUUCAUGAGAUUAAAACAAUUCUCAAUUCUUAAUUAUCAUUGAUUAAAUUGGUGUAUACAACCCCAUAAUUUAAAAAAGAAAAAGUAUACACAUAAGGAAAAAACUUAAUGGUAAGAAACUAUACAAGAAGGGUGUCGGAACUUGGACUAAGGAAGAAAAUCUUCUCCAGAAUAUUCUCGUAGGGGCUUAACCAACUAAGCCCCAACUUUUAACCAAAUUAACUCAACUCAUUUUCAACAUUGUUUGACUGGACAGUUUUUAACUCAAACCACACUAUUAUCUAUAUUCAAUCUGCUUGGAACUAGGAAGAUAAAUUUCUUUUGCGUUUUUUUUAUCGUAUUUUGAUCUCAAGGGUACUUAUUUUUAUUUUAUUUUAUCUUUUGUAAUCUUCAUUACCUUUUUAAAACUUGGGGACUUUUUUUUUUCUAUUUUUUUGAGGGAUAGAAUGAUAUGGUAGGAUUAUAGUAAAUUAGGGUAUCUUUUUUUUCUAAAGGAAAAAUAACUUUUCAUUGAUAAAAUGACAGAGCAAAGAGCUAGAAAACAAGAAUAGAAACAAACAAAACAACGAAGAAAAGGCAUGAAAGAUACAAGGCCUCCAGAGAAACAAAUCUGGAGAGAAAACUCUUAAAACAUAGAAGAGGAGCAACAAUGAGAAACGAUAAUCUUGAACUUCAAGACAAGCAAACCGAUUGAUUGGCUGAUUUAAUUCUUUGAUUGAUUAGUAUUAGGAUUAGUUUCUUUGAUCAACUAGGAUUCGCAUUAGUUUGUUUUAUCAUUCUCUAUGAAUAGAAAAUUUGUCUUCUUGUAGUCAUAACUUUUGGUUCAUAAUAAAAACUUUGAUUUUGUACUUGGAGAUUUCUCUCCUUUUAUCUCUUAUGCUACACCAAGAAGUUUUUCACGUGUGACCUCAAUGUCUAUACUCCUAACAACUAUAUCCUUUUACUUCUCCACAAAUAGGUUUCCUCCCAUAGGAAUUUGUAACUCAGAUAUGAAUCAUCUCUCCCACAGGUGCCCAGUAUACAGUUCUUUUGUUUUGGGCAAUACAGUUUAUGACAAUAGAUGUUUCAGCAAAAAUUACAUGAUCGCCAUGCAGUCAACUAAAUGAAGUAGUAGCUCAUCACUUAAAAACUACUGAGAUACAAUUACCUUAAUGAGAAGAUAUAAAUCCUCCAUAUAUGAUAAAGAAGUGAAACCUGUGGUUGUACAGUCAAAAGCUACUGAGAAGGCAUUGAAAUUCUCACUAAAUGAGUGAACAGAUUUCCUGCACGAAUAUUUCAUUCGAAAUAAACUUCAUUUGUAAAUAAAAUAUAAUAUAACUCGAAAAUAUUUGCUUUGAAACUUUCAUAUUAAAUUGAAAUGUUAACCAUGCUUUCAACUGCAUUGCAUUUCAAUGGUAUAUAGUGUGAUGAAUGCACCAGGCCUUGAUUGCAUUCUUCUAAAAAAAACGUCUACAAUAUGUUUGCAUGCUUAUACUAAGGUUGCUAUCUAAAUACAAAUCACGUAAUUCAAUUUAUACUCACGUGAACACAUAGUAUCCCAGCCAUCCUCAAACUGACACAAAUUCUACAAAUUACCAGCCAUGGUAAGAAAUUCCCAACACGUAGUAAAUCAAUAAUCUUUUUUAUUGCAAAGGAAACUAUUUUUCAUUAAUGAAGAAAAGAGAAUAAAUGAAUAAAUACAACUAGCAGACUACAAAAUUUACAUUGAUACAUAUAAGACAGAAGAAACCAAAGACAAAAGGAGAAUACAUCCAAAAAGUCCAAACACGACACAAAAAUAGGAUUAAGGACAAAUAAAUGCACCCCAAUUCAAUUUGAUAUCUUGAAAAAAAAAAUCCCUCAAAAACCUUGAAUGGAAACACAAAAAAGAUACCUACAUGUGAGAUGCAUCAAAAUAAUCCAUCCCUCAAUAUGCUUGCUUUAAAAAAAGAACUUAGACUUCUCUCAAACAGCACUUAUCCAACAAAGUAAAUCAAUAGUUUCUAAAAUAAUUUUAAAAUAUUUUAAUUUCUUUCUUACACUAAAUUAAAUAUAAGAAUGUCUAAAUUUUGGGCAAGACACUUGAUCCCAUUCGGUAGCAUUUUCAUUCCUUGUUUUUUUUUAUUUCUUGUUUCGUCUUAGAAAAAUGGAAUUGCAUUCAAUAAAUGUUUCUUGUUUUUUUCUAUUUUCUUGAAAAAUAAAAAAAUGGAAACGAAUUUACUAAACAUUUCUUAUUACUUGUUUUAUGAAAAUUAGUUUGUAGAUAUGUAUCAUGCAUUUAAGAGUAAAACAUGAUAAAAUCAUUAUUUUAUUUAUGUGAGGAAAAAACCAUAAACUUGCUUUUGCUGUUUCUAAAAUUUCUACACAAUUUCAAAAUUGAUCCAUAAAAAUGAGAAACAAGAAACAAAAACAAUUAUCAAAAAACGCUUUUUCUAAAAACUGCAAACCCAAAACAGCAAAGUUAUCAGAUGACCCCUUGGUUCUAUGAUCUAGACGUUUAAAAGUGGCCACCAUUGAAGAAAAUCAAAUGUCCUCUCAUAUUGCUCCCCUAUAUUAAUGAAUAAAAUAUUUGUUUCUUUGUUAAAAAUAUUGUGUGAAAUGUUUCCAUAUCAGUUUCAUUGCUGAUAAGCAUAAUUAUGUUAUAUUGUAAUGAGCAGAUGACUAGAACAGAAUCAACAGGAAAUCAUGCUCAAUAAAAGGGGGGAAUCCUUUUAUAUCCUCACAAAAUAUAAGGGGGGUGACAUAUCUUAAUUGGGUUGAACCAUUAUACGUGCCUGAGUGCGUGAAAUAUAAAUCAAGCAUAAACAAACACUCAAAAGGUAACUUUGCAAGUGUGUGUAUGUGUGCAAGUUUUUAAAACGUAGAUUGGAGAAAGCAAAUAGAUAUUUUGUGUUAUUAUUUUUUUUAAGAGAAAGAAAGCACUUUUCAUUAAGAAGCCCUGUUAUAAAUACCUAUUCAUUAUUGACGGAGAACCACCACAAUUAUAUAGAGAAAAGUAUUAAGAAAACAGUUAUACCUGACAAUUGAUGAUAAGAUCAGCAUUGGAUUAAAAAUAAAUAUUUGGUUUUUCUCUUGUAUCCCGUCCAAACUUCCGAAAUAAGCUUUUAACCCUUUGACUUGUAGGUAGAACCAAAGGGAAACCAACUCUUGAGAUGUAUAUUUUUCACUACCAAUUGGUGAAAUAUGAUGUCCUUUCAAAGAGAGACACACCAGUUCUUUGUCAUCUGCUUCAGAGGAGUCCUCCAUUAGAAAUGUGAAAUCAGAGCUGGAAGUUGGGCAUACAGCAAUUUCAACAGCAUGCACAUCAAGUUCAAUGAGUGAGUCACCCUUAUGGGAUAUCUCACUGGAAAUUUCGUCAUCAUCACUGAAGUCCUUUCCAAGUGCCAUUUUGAUCUUGGAACCAGCUAUGUGCAUUGCAACUUGAAUGUCUUUCAGUGAUAGCUUUUCAAGCAAUGGUGUCAUCAUCUGACUAGCACAGUUCUCAUACUUAUUAUUCAAACAGGCUUCCCUAUUAUCUCCAGCAACUGUUGGUGGAUGCAAAGAAACUUCAGGACUUUGCUCAUCCUCAGUCCACGAAGAAGCCAAUUGAAGGAGCAAAGCUGCUGAUAAUACAGAUGAAUACUGCAACGCAAAAUUUAGCUUACCCAAAGCUAAAUUGCAUUUCCAUAUUGAAGUACUUGAAUUCUCAAGCACUGAUUUUGUCAUUGAGCUACUAAUUUCACAAAGAAACCAAGGAUUAUCUGAAUACGGAAUCAUACCUUCUUCAAGAUUCCUGCAUACAGAUUUCCAUCUCAACCACAUGCCUUCCAAAUAUUUAACUAUGAAUUGAUUGCAACCAGUAUCUAUUUCACGACCAUUAGAAGGAAAAAAGCUCUGUGCAGGUUCACCACGAAUGAAAGAUUUCAGACUAUUUGCUCUUUCCAUCUCACACCCUUCUAGAGACCCCAAGAGAUCAACAGAGCAGCCUCCACCAUUGGACGCCUCCACAGAAGGUAAGGGAGUAACAUUGAAUUGAUCGCAGGACAUGAGUAGAGACUGUUCACAAAGAUCUACCAUGUACAUGACUACGAGUGAAUCAAAGGAAAAACAGAAAGAAAGAGAAAAGGAGGACGGGAUCCCAAAACUUGAUUUCAGGUUUUCAAAUGUUGGGGGCUGAAUGUCAUCUGGGGGAUAAAUAGACACUAAAAGUUUUCCAGUAUUCAACAUAAAGCAAAACUGUGAAUUUGAAUCUCGACGUACAAUUUUGACACAUCCAUCCAGUUUAUGUGGUUGAGUCAAGGUUUUAACUAUGCAUCUCUCUAUGAAACAAAAUAUACCGCAUAACAUUUUCCAAAUGCAUGAAAGCAAUGAAAAGACCUGAUAAAAGAAUUUUAACUGGACGAUGCUAGAUACUUCCUUUUUGUCUUCAAUAUUCCUGAUGGCUCUAUAUCGUGCUAUUUUUCUUCCCUGUGCGAUGGAUCCAAUUGGUAACUUCUUCUCAAUAUCCAGAAUUAUCAUCAAAUGUUUCUUGAAGGAAGUGAAGAGUUUUCUAUCCGAAGAAAUCUUAUAAGUGAAUUUUUUCAUCAAAUUGGCCAUAGGAUAUCCAGUUAAUAGUAGUAAAAGUUCAUAGGCAUUGACAUACUGUACCCACAGCAUCACAACAGUGACAAGACGAUGCCAUGACAUUCUUGGCGAUGAAGUAAUGUGGCUAAUUCUUUGAGCAGCUAGUUUCCAAAGUUCUCUGCCAUUUCUAGAAAAUUUGUAUUCUUUAGAUGACAUUCCAUUUAUUACUGAAUAUAUGGAAACCAUAACUGGAGUAAUUGAAAGACUUAAUUCUGGAAUUCUAAGAUUCACAUCAACAAGCUGAAGAUCAUACAUUUUGCAGCGACUGAAUAUAACUUUUAAAUUCAAGAUUCUACUAAUCUGAGUUUCCCACUUCAACACAAUCUCAAGAUCAUUGCCAGUGAUGGCAAGGCAGCCAUGUGAUAAUGGUUUAAAGAUCGCAUGUAUAAGCUCAUGAAGGCAUCCAUGGUUUCGAUUUUCAAUUUUGGCACUUAGACACUUUAUGCUCAAGGAACAGUAAAAAACAUAGUUAAAGCUUGGGAACUCCAGUACAAAGUCAAUAUUAGACAUCUGUACGCAACCACGUUUGAGUAGUAGAUUUGUAGAAGCUGUUUUCAACCGGUAUCUUGGUGGAGGGUGCAGAAAACUCUUCAUAAUAUCAUGCAAAGUGACACCCUGAAAUCCAUUCAAUAACCACAGAGCGGGUAGUUAGAAUGAGGCACUGGGCUUUUUUCUUUUCUUUUCUUCUCUUCUUUUUUCUUUGAGAAGAGAAACCGAAUAAGGCACUAGGCUUAAGUGGUAAACAACAUUUUUGUUCAACAAAAGUAAUCAAAGAGUAAAAUAUUUGAAAUUUAAGAUGACGAUUUCUGAAAACCUCGAUUCAUGUUUUCAUAACCUUAAAAUAUUGAAUUUGUGAAGAUUACAUUAAAAGGAUAGCUUCAGCUUUUUCUUACCUGGAUAACUGUUUUUUAAAUCAUUUUUCAGAAACAAGGGAAUUGAAAACGAAUUCAGAGUAGUCAUAAUAUCCCUUGAUCCCAAUAAGAUAAAAGUGAAAAUAUAUUUGAUAUUAAGAGGCCUAUAAAUUCAGUUUGUAAAUAUUGAACACUUUGAACAACUCAACCGGGCAACUCACCUGUCCAUACCUUCUAGAGUUGUUGCCAAAUUGAUAAAAAUUCAAUGACAUAAAAUUUGAACUUCUUAAGUCUAACAGAAUUCGUAACAGAUAAGCAACCAAGAAAUGUGAAGCAAAUAAUACACUUCACAAUUCACGUGCUUGAGGAGCUAAAAGAUGUCAGUUAGUAUCCACACUACAUAAAACGCAAUCCCCGGCACAAUUCAAUGUCUAAAUUUGUCAGGAAAUGGAAAAAAGAAAAAGACAUCACCUCCGGAUCAAUAGCGGAUAGAUUCUUCUUCAGGAUUUCAGAAAAUGCGUUAUCUGAAUCCCGUUUUCCUCUCGAAAUCACCUCCCUGUUAAAUUCCCAACCAAGUAACCAUCCACACUUACUAGAAACCAUAGAUAUAAGUUUUAACAACACUUACAAUUCAAACGAUCACAAAAACCACGGUAGCAAUUGACUAACCUGAUAGAUAGCGUCACACGGACACCAUGUAGUUUGAUAUCGAAGGCUGGAAAGGGCCAGUAAGUGACCACAACGCUCAAGUGUUCAACAACCACCUCUUUGAAGGACAUGCUUGCCGCGGUCUCCUCAAUUAGCUCAUUGAAAGACGAAACGUUCAAAUGGAGAUCGUGGGCAUCGAUGGUGGAACGAGUAAACCCCAAAUUCAGCUGAAGGUCCGAGUCCUCUGGCAGCCAUGGAUGCAGCAGAGACACCAGCCUCCGCAGAAGAAAAUUGUGUAACCCCAUAGCUAGUACCGCUGGAACAGCAUGACGAUGUUCAAUAAUCGUAAUUGUUCCAUAUAAGAGUGAUUCCUUUCCCAGACAGCGAACUUGAAAUCGUAAAGAGAGGAUUUGGAGUACAGGAAUGUUAGGAAGAGUGAACUUGUGGAAGAAGACGUGAAGUUGCUAUUUGGUAAAUGCAACGGCGGGUAUUGUCGGAGGGACGUUUUAAGUCGACAGAUAUAGAGGACUCCAGACGAGUCUCGCGUGAUUGUCAUCUCCCGUCGCUUUGCACACGUGUCCACCGCCAUCCAGUUUUUAUCCAAUUUCAGAUAUAUGCAAACAAACUGUUUUUCAAAACAAGAAAUGGAAAGGCAACGUGUGACAUGGAGAGGCAAUAGCCCAUACGGUUGCCUUUGCUUGCCUUACAAAAUUUUAAGAUUUAAUCAACUGUAUAUGUGCCUUUUUAACAUUUACUAUUUUAAAUAACAAUGGCAUGUAACGUGGAUGCUAGCAUCAUUCUUUCAAACAACAAAAUUACUACAAAAAUAAAAUGUAUCUAUAAGGUAAAAUAAAAACUAGACAAUGUAUUUCAUUUUCAUUUUCAUUUUCUAACUAUCUCUGCAAACAUGAUUAAGUUGUGAUCGUUGAGAUGUGAGAUGAGAACAGCAUAUUCCUUUAUUUACUUAUUUACUUUUUAAAAGAGGAAGCAUAGCAUAAAAAAAAAGUAAAUAAAAGAAGUGAAGGGAAAAAGAGACACCCUUUGCUCAUAUAGUUAAGUAAUGACUUAAAACCACUUUUACAGAAACCACACUUAUGCCUUCUAUUAUUCUUUAUUCUUUAGUUUGCACUACAAUUUAUUAACUCCAGUAAAGCCCAUCUGAGUACCUUAAACACCUUCAAGUGACCAAACCUUCGUUCAUUUAUUGGUUUCUAUAUUUUAGUGUUUUCAAAACCAACACAAAUUUAUAAAAUUGAAAAAAUAACUCUUAAAACAUUUUUGUUUUUCAAAUUUGCCUAAGACCUUGUGUACAUUAAAAAAUGUUAAUUGUGCAUAACAUUGUGAGAAAUAUAUAUAUAUGAAUAAAAAGGCUUAAUUUUCAAAAAACAAAAACAAAAUUGAAAUGAUAACCAAAAUAAAUAAUUAUUUAGUAGUCCAACCAACCUUUAUCACAAGAGCAAAAGAACAGAACAAGCUUAUUUCUGAACCUGGAACACAAACACCCCCAAAAUUAUAAAGAGAGUUUAGGGCAUUGAAGGUUCCUUUACAUUCGAGAUCGCUGCAACGACUUACUACCAGCCACUUAUUUGCAGAACCUUGUGAUCAUCACUUAACAAACUUCAACUAUACCAUAUAAGAACAAAUUCACUGAUUAAACCUUAAUAUCUGACAUCCCCCAGAUGCAUUGUAUGUCGGCUAAUUAGUAUUAGCUAGGAUUAUAAGGCAACUCAUAUACUACAAUCUUGUAUUUGUUUCCUCAGAAUUGGCAAAUAUGAAAUAUUUUUAUUGCUUCUUGGGAGAAAAAUUCCCAAUUCCAUUCUGGUGUUACUGAAGUAGUUUCCUCUGACAUAUUUUCAAAUAACAUACACAACAAUUAUCAAUGAGUCAAAUUACAACCCGUAGAAAAUAAUGUCAUAAAGACAACAGGAUGUGGGAAUACAGCAUCAAGCUACUGAGAUCCAGCUUCGUCUUUCUUCUCUGACAAGUACCUAUUGGAAUGUAACUUAUGUCAAAAAAAAAAGGCUUAUUGCUUUGCCAAAAGAAACGAAACAACUGCACAGCCACAAUUAACGUGGACAUACUCACACAGUUAAGCUGGGACGUAACAUGUUAAUGCACAUGCUAAUACUGAAGUCUUGGUUAAAAAAAAUACUAAAUAGUCUUGAUAGUGUUAAAAAAACGAAUCUUCAGUGUGACAAAAAACAAAUGUUUUGAUAAAUUCUCGUCCAAAAACAUGAUACAAAACAACAGCCAGAUACUGUUUUGCCAACAACCAAUGCCAUAUGAUAACUUAUUUUGGCCAAAGACCUUCCCAGCUAGGGAGACGUCAGUGGGGUUAUCAAGAAUAAAAUUGAAUGAAGUUGAUUAGUUCGUUAUUUACCCUUGAGCCUUUGCCCAACGUGAGAAUUGAUACAACUGUACAGUCUCAUUUGAGGCAUGACAAGCAAGAAGUAGGUAAUUGCGGGGUUGUACCAUCCACGCAAAUCUCAUGAACAGUGCUGAAUAGACGCACAUUGCUGCAGUGACAAGGGCAGAUGUUCCCACUUAGACCAAACUAAAAGACAAGCUAGAUAAAUGAGUUUCAACAUAGAUACACUCAACCUGCUGUCAUGUUGCCAGAAAUCAUUUCUGGUGGCUUGUUCAUGUCUGCUAACCCCUGUUUGAGUCCACCAACAUGAUCAAGACAAUUGAGAACUAAGAAAAACAAUUAAAUGAUAAGCAACAUAGAAAGCAUGGUAAGACAGAUACUUAAAUUGAAGUCAAACAUACAGCAGCCACGAAUCCCCAGUUGGCAACAGGUCCCCAAAAAUGAGUAGUUUUUGGACCAACAGGGCUGUUCAAGAAUGCUCGGAAUGAAGCCAUUCUCUGAUUUCUACAAAAAUAAAUAAGAACAGAUUAAUAGACCAUAGAAUUCAAAAUUCAUGAAACAUCAUGUUAUGGUGAGACAAAAACAAUGGAUAGAGAAACACAUUUACGAUUAUGACCAACCAAGGAAUAAUUCACCAUCCAACACAUUUCUGCCUCUAAAAUCUUUAACCGAAUAUGUAAAUGAUACAUCAUUUGAACUCCCAUUAUCAACCAUUUCGGUCAAAAGCCUAUCAAUACAUGAAAACUGUUGGCUAUAACUCUUUUUUAAUAAUGCAGAGCAACAAAAUAUUGCAUGAGAUACACUUGUUUGAAAGCUUUAGAAACGUGGCAAGUGAAAGGAAACUCAAUCAAGUAACAUAUGAAUUUGAAGAUUUUUAUUCUUACAAGCAAUAAAAAUCAUAUAAAUUCCUCCAUAUUUUUUCUUACAUGAAUAUAUUCAGAAAAUUCUUCCACUUAUUUCUUUCUCCAGGUUACUCUAUUUUUAUACUAAAAGUCUUUCAAGUAUGUCUUUUUCAUCUAUCCACAAAAUUAUAUAUAAUCUAAUUGUAUUUUUAUACGUAUUGAUGUUUGCUUUUGGUGAAUCUGUCCGUUUGUGGCCUAAUUUUGGACAGAAAUAUCGAAGGAAGAUAAUUAGAUUUGUGAGAAAUUGAGAAUAUCUUACUCGGGGAAGUUUAUGUAUAUCCACUAUUUUCUUUUUUCAGUAUCUAUAUAACUGUUAUUCGACUGUGGCAUUUCUACAAACAGAAGCGCACCAGGUUGGGGGGUUUGAUUACGACGGAGCUAUUCUUGAUCUUCGUUGAAGUUUAAUUUUACAGCAAAAACAAAAUUCACCAAAAUUUCCCACACCUUCCACAGAAUCAAAAGGAGAACUAAGAUAGACCCAGAAUCCAGUUUCCCCGCAGCAAAACGUAUCCCUAGAGAAAAAUCAGUCCCCCCCCCCCCCCCCCCCCCCAAAAAAAACAAAAAAAAAACAAAAAAUUAAGUACCUGGAAAUACCUAAAAGGAGGGAAGUGAAAGACCUAAAAAACACUUCCAAAACCAAAUAAAAAAUGAAUCAUUCAAGAAGAUGGCAUUUUACAAUCAGGUGAAAAUCCUUUCCUUACCCAGUUUCAGAGUACAAAACUGAAUCCAUAAUUUCACAUUACAAAGAACAGAUUAUAUCUCCAUAGUCCACCAUACCUGGAGAAGACGAACGUCGGAGGACAGUCAGCAAUUCGAUGGAGAUCUGGCCAAGAGAUAAUGGAGAACCGCUAGAGAAUUUUGACUUUGAAACCACCCAAAAGCAGAAGAUGAAGAACGAUAGCAGGCUAUUUUUCUUUUUCUUUUUCUCUCUCUUCCUUUUGUACCAAUUUUUUUUGCUUGGGUUGGGUUAGUUAGGUUGAAACACCGUUUAGAUACUCAAUUGUAAAAUUAACCCAAACAACCCUCGUCAAGAAAAUAGAUUCCAUCCAACUCAACAACCAUAUAUGAGUUGGUUCGGUUAUUCGGAUUGUAUAUUUAAGAAUUGUAGGAUGUAAAUCAAAUAUCUUGAUUUCAGUUCAAUUUUGAGAUUCAUGAUUACUUUUGUCUUUUGCUAAUUAGUAUUUUGAAUUUCAUGGAUAUUUUCAUCUUUUCUUAAUUAAUAUUUUCUAAUUAUAAAAUUUGACUGACCAUCUUUACAAUUUUAAAACUUGUUUUUUUUUAUUGUUUAAAUUUUGUUAUUACUCUUCUCAGCCCAAAUUUUGGAAGGAGGCUGCAAUUCAACUCAUGGUAGCACAUGAUGGAUGAUUCAUUGAGAAGGCGGUAACAGUCUCAAUUUUUAUCUGUUUUUUCUUAAACACAACUCGGUUACCAUUGUUGAGCCUUUUGUUUUCUGGUUCUCUCAACUUUUUCUACAAUCUUUAUUAAUGUUACUUCCAAAAACAAACUAAUAACAUUUCUGGCAUAUUGUUACAGAUCAAGUUUGUAUAUAGACAGAUAAAUUCAUGUGUUCUGUAUUCUUAAUAUGAUUUAACUAAAGUUUGAAUUGCAUAGUUUGGUUUUAAAGUAAAGCAUUGGAUUGUAAUUUUAUUAACUGUUUUUCAAUAUUUUGGGUUUGAAUUCAAAUUGUGCUUCCUGUGUUAUGUUACUAUUCCAGCUAACCAAUCUUUCUUUUUUAUGCAUGUGAUUAUUUGAGAGAUAUUAAUCACGCUUAAAUCACUCUACCCACGAGUGUACUAAAAGAAUCAGUUUUAUAAAACUGUGUGUCCUGAUCUGCACAAUCAAAUGCUUUUUUUUCAAGGACACAAUUGUACAAAAACUCAAUCCCUUUCAAUCCUUACAAUCAAAUACUUCUUCAAUGUCUAUUUUCAAAAUCUAACUCUUUCUUUUAAUCUAUAUUCUUCCACCACCUCAUUUACAAUUAGAAAUUUGCCUACUUUAGAAGCUAGAUAUAGUAGAUGACAUUACUUUUUUCAAUCUUUCUGCUUAUACUUAGCUAAAUGUAAAAAAAUUUAAUUGAUUGGUUUGAAACCCUUUACUGAUGUAAUCAAUUCCUUCUUCUGAAUCAGAUAUAUGAAGUUUUCUUUCAAAUAUACUGCCAAAACUUCAUAAAAAUCUUUUUUUUUGGAAGAGUAGAGAUGCUUAGAGAUUAAUGAGGUGGUGGAAUAGUAUAGGUCAAAAGAAAUGGGACAAGACAAAUGUUCUUCCAUGGCUCCUUUUAUACAUAUAGCAUAUAAAGAAUGUUUCCUUUUUCCAAACAGAAACAUUAAAGAACAAUAGUUAUACAGAGAGAGAGAACUUCCAAGUUCAAAAUUCAAAGUACAGUCUAAAUAGGACAAAAAAACAAUCAAUAAACCAAAUUAGAUAAUAUUCUAUAAAAUCAAAGAACAGUACCACCCAACUUAACCAAAUUUGAGGUAUAUGAUAUUUGAACUUUGUAGAUGGACACUUGAGAAGGGAUAGAUUAGGGAGAGAAGAAGGCAGGCCUCCAACAUUCAAGUAAAGUGAACUGUGAUAUUAGAAAAUCUGGUUUAAAAUUUUCAGAUGAUGAAAUCACCGAAUCUCCUUUGUGCAAUGAUCAGAUUUCACACAAAUACGUAAAAUCCUGGUUGGACCAUCCGCAUAUAUUUCGUACCCAACCUUCAUAAUCUCCGAGUCUCUAAAGUUUCCAGAUAUUGAUUUAUGUGUCAAGCCUCCUUGUAGCCUAGACUUGAAUAAAGGUUUCCAUGUGCGCAACUUGGCCAAGUUAUUAAUUUCACGAAGGCUCGAUCUGCAUUUUUUAGUAGCUUUUGUGUGGUUUGAGGUUGAAACUUGUUGAUGGGUUCCGAGAAUAUUGUUGAACCCAAGUUUGCUGAUUAGAUUCCAUGAUUUCUAGAUAUUUGAGAUACUUAAUUUUUUCCGGUGUUAGAUAAUCCAAACCCCACAAUGGGCGUAAUGAACUCACCGAUUCAACACCAACACUAAAAAAACACACACACACACAAAUGCUUCAGUUCAAGCUCGCUUGGGCAUCAAUCUUAACUUAGGACAAACAUAUAUAUGCAAGGAAAUAAGCAUGGGAGAAAGAACUCUACAGGUCUAAACUCUAAUGAUCCAACCCAUACCCAUAAGUUUACUUCAUUACAAUUUUUCUUUUUUCUAUUUUGGUCUCUAUAUUUUAGAUAAUUGUUUUUAAUUUAUUUAUUUUGGACCUUACUAUUUUAAAAAAGUUAUUAUUUUGAUUGAACCCAACUAUCCACACCCUCAAAUUUAUCAAACUCUCUAUAUAUUGUCUAGGUUUUUUCUCCAUAUUUUAUAAAUAGUGUCAAUUUUUUCCUAUAUUUCAAAUUUUAUCUUCUUUUCAUAAUGUCAUUUAAAAAAAUGUCAUGCAGAUUUUAUGUUGUAAUUUUAAAAGCAAUACAUUAACACAUUUUAAAAUGUUAGCCUUUAAAUUUUAAAUGGAGUAUUUAAUACCCUUAACCCAUUAAGCUAUUGCUGUUGAUCGAACGUACAAUUUUGGCAUAAAAUUCAGCCGCAUGAUCAGAGCAAAUAUUGUGGUAAUUAUAUUUUUAUUGAAUUUUGAUAAUUUAGUUUACUCAAUCCAACCCUGUUUCGGUCUAAUAAAUAAAUCGGCUUAAGCUCAAAUACAAAAAAUCAUAUGAGCUAAGUCCAAGAAGCAAAUAGGUUAAAGCCCAAGCCCCACAAACCAAUAGACUCAAAUUCAAGUUCAAUAAACAAAUGAGCCCAAACCCAAAUAUAAAUCCAUGAAAUUUCUCUGUAAAUAAGACAUUUGUCCCUCUUUGAUUAGACUGAAACUUACAACUACAGCAUGCUAAACACAUCAAAUAAGUAAAUAUUAAAGAUCGUAUUAACAAUAUUCGUCAACAUAUUAAAGUUCAAUUCUACGAAUUACAUUUAUUCAAAAUCUCGUGUGAACGUGUAUUUUAAAAAAUCAUAAAUACUUUUAAUCUUAAAAAAAUAAGAAAAAAUUUCGUUGUUAGGCCAAUUUUCUCACCAACCAAAAGUUUAAAUGAUGAAAUUCUACAAAAUUCUAAAAUAAAAUUUAUUAUGUAAAAUGUAGUAAAACAGUAAUUAGCAAAUAAAAAAAAGUAUCAACCCACGGGACUUUUAAAAAUACUCUUAAAUUUUUAAAAUUUUAAAAAUACUCUUAAAACUUUUUUAAAAAAAAAAACCUACAGUGACCAUUAAUAUCCUCAUACUUCUUAAUUUUGUAAAUAUACAUAAGUAAAAGAGACAUUUUUAAAAAUAACAAAAUAAAAUAAAAAAUUUACAAGUUAUAGUAAAAUUUUAGAUUUUAUGACUGAUAGUUUUCUAUCACUGUUGCAUAUCAAUGACUAUUGAUGAUAGAAUUUGUUAUAGGUGGUAAACAUUUUAUAAAAUCUAUAAUUUAAGAAAAUUUUCCUAAAUAAAAUUGCAAUAUUAAAUUUGUUAAAAAUAAAAAGAAUAAUAGAAGCACGUAAGUAUUUUAGGAUUUAAAUGUUUUAAUAAAAUUGUAACUUAACAGUUUAGCGUGUCUUAAUAACCAACCACAUUUUUAUGUAAACUUUUUAUAACACACCGUUUAAACACAAAUUUGCUGCACUUGAAUUUUCAUAAUAUAAGAAUAAAUUUUUAUCCCGUAAAUUUGUGAGGUUAACGUAACUUAAAAGCUUGGUUUUGAUUUUAGUUAUGGACAAAUUUGGUGUAAAAAUUAUAUUGAAUAUACAUAUUUUUAAUUUUUCUAAAGUUCAAUAGAUUUACGUAAAUUUUCAAAAGUUUGGAGUAUUUUCAAGUUUAAAGACAUUUAACAUAUUUAUUUAUUUUUUAUUUUUCUGUAUAUAUAGUUUAGCCUAAAAAGUUAUAAAAACCUAAUCGCGAUCUCCUCCCUCCUUUCUCCCACCUCACUAUUUAUGCCGUCUCCGCCUCCUCAAGUUAACAGUCGCCGUCUCCAUCUCACAUACAUAGUUUUCAGUUCUCCUUCUCACAGUCUCCAUCUCUUCUCACGAUCUCACCCUUAAGUUCUUAGCCUACUCCUCCAGGUGCUUAUUUAUAUUUUCCUUAUGUUUUUCUCCAUUUAUUUGUUACUUCGUUCUAAACCAUGUUUAUGAAGUAAAGAAAUCUUUUGGAUUGCUGUUGGAAUUCUUCUUUCAAUGCAUCAAAUUCACUUUCAUUAUUAAGAAAUUAUUUUCAAAUUGGUGUGUACUGUAGAAGGAAAAUGAAAAAAAGAAGCAUCUGGUUUGCUAAAGAGAAUAUUGGGUUCAUAAUUUUUUUUUAUUAAUUUUUUCUUGUAUUGCAGAUAGAUUACAACUUGUUUUGCUCUGAAAUUUUGCCAUGACUUUACUUGAAAUCAUCAAGCAAGCCUCGGCCUGCUCGGAUUCCCUUGAUUUCCAGUCUGACUACCCCAUUCUCCUCAAUCCAGACGAAAUUAUAACCAAUUUGAAAUCCAAAGUUGUUGAACCAGAUCCUAUUUCUCUUAUCAAUCCCAUCAUUGGAUGGAAAGUUUCUGAAAACGACUGCAAGGUGAUUGAUUUGGGGAAAAAAUUCCACGAAAAUCUCAAGCAGAAGCUCAAAAACCGACACUUCUCAAAGCCUGAGUUUAUAAACCUUUUAAAUGCUUUUCUUGUAAAAAUGAAGGAAAGGGUCGGAAUUGUAGUUAGUGUUAGUUCAUCAGACAAUUGUUACACUAAGGUUUUGAUUGAGAAACUUGGGUUCCUGAUGAGCAAAGACGUUGGAGGCUUGGUUUUGGAUACAUGUAUUGCUUUUGAGGACUGGGAAUUGGUGGAGACUUUUGUUGUUAAUAAGCUUGUUAAACAUGCAUCUUAUUCAAAUUUGAUUUUGAAACUUGUCGCUAAGAAGAGGUCAGAUCUACUAUGUCUCUGUAUCAAGCAAGCAUCAGAUUUUGGUCCUGCUGAUUUACACUGCAUUCUGAAGUACUUUCUUUGCCCCUCCAAAGAGGCUUAUGCCAGUAUGUCUAAUGUGAGGAAGGAAUGGGAGGACCAAGCAUUGCUAGCCAUUGAGAAUGCUAGCGAUAAAAAUCUCAAAGGCAAGAAGUCUAGUCUGGCAAAGGAGGCUGCAAUUCAGCUCAUGGUAGCACAUGAUGGGUUCUCAACCCAGGAGUUGUGUUUGCAUUAUCUAUUGGCAUCUCCCAAUCUUGAUGAAGUAAUUCUUGCGUCUGCACUCAGUAAGUUGAAUCGUGAAGAGAUGGUUCAUUUGAUUCAGUACCUGAGGAAAUGGUUAAAGAAAUAUGAGAGAUUCCCUCAGGCAGUUUCUUGUCCAAAAGCAUCGGUUGUGUUGGGUUUGAAGGCUUGUGAUUGGGUUCCCAAACUUGAUGAUGUUGUCAGAUAUCUUGGACUAGUGUUGGACGUGAACUUUUCAUCAUUGGUGUUGCAUCCAGAUUUUCACGAGGAGCUGAAAAUCAUGGGGGAAUUGGUUAAUUCUCUAGCCAUGGAAUCAAAGCUCUGCUGUUUUCUCGCCAAUGCAGCAGAAAAUUUGAGAAACAGGAGCGUAAUGUAAGUCGUGAGAAAAAAUUGAAUGUAGUGUUACACCAUGUUUUUUAUUGUUUAUUUGAGCGCAACUAUAUAGCAUCGUUGAAGAAUAUUUGGAGAUUGUUUUUGUAAACGGCUUUUUUUCCUAGAGAGUAAAAUAGGAAAAACAAUUCGAUUAACCAUUGUUGAGUUUUUUGUUUUCUGGUGGUUCUCUCAACUUUUGUUCUACGACCAAGUUAUUAUUUUCUUCGAAUAAUUGGUGAAUAGGAAAUUAAGUGAACAAAAUGAUUUCCAUCUCCCAUCCCCAACUAAUAAGAAAUUAAGCAUACACAUCCAAAUCUAAUUCGUAAUACUAAAAUACAGAUAAGAACUAAAAGAAAGAACCCACGAAUAUUAUAUUCUACACAGUGAACUAAACUUCAUCUUCAAUCCUCAAAUUCCUCCAUUUCCAUUUAGAUUUUACAUCACAGAUACCUUCUGAUAUUCCCCGAAACGAAAUCAUCUCCAUCCAUAUAGUAAAAUUGCAUUUCUCGUGAAUUUUUGUCAUUUUUUGUUAUUUUGGAAGUAAUUUGUGCGAAUUUAUAGUUCUUUUUCUUAUUCUUAUAUGUAAUUUUGUUAGCAAUAUUUGCUCUUUUUUCCUUCAAAUCAUAAAAGCCUUGAAACCAUUGACUUCGAAUUAGUCCGUAAUUUUGUCGAUGUAUAUUCCUUUUUCAUAAUUGAUUGCCUAUCAUUCCAUUUGACCUUCGUGGUUAGAAUGCACGUCUAUGAUAUGUAAGGAUGACAGCAAUUUAUUGAAAUUUAAAAAAUAGCUACUUUUAAAUAUAACAAAAAUGAAUAAAAAUACUUAUAAAAUAGAGCUAAUGGAUAUCACUAGAUUACUACUUGUAUCAUGAUCUAUUUGUAAAUAUUUUCAGCUUUUAGAUCUUAUUUUAGUUAUUCAGAUUUACCCUUUAAAUAACUAAGAAAUUCAAUAGAUUUUGAGGAUUUAGAUUAUUUGAUUUUCCAAUUUAGCAAUACAACGUUUGUAUCAAUAGUAAUUACACAAAAGUAAAUAUCAAUAAAAUAUAAAACAUAAAUAUUGUCAAGCCAUCAUGUUCUGGAAAUGCUUUUAAAUAAAGGGCUUAGUUUGCUACAAGUUUCAUUCUCUGAAUGUUCGUAUUUUUUCCUCAAGGAAUUAGUUAUGCUUUGGCAUAAUGCACGAAACUUCAAAUGCCUCAAGUCUUUAUUUUGAUGGCAAUUUCACACGGCAGAAUAAUCUUUUUUGAUGCAUAAAGGUAUAAUGCAGUUUUAGACCAGAAGCCAGAUACUCAAAAAAAUAAACUAGAUAGUACACUCCAAAGAAUGCAGUACAUGUUAAAUAAACUGGUGACACCAUCUUGAUGUAUCGACUAGGAAUAAAAGAAAGUAUGAUAUUAUGACGAUCAUCAUAUUGGUUAGUACAAAACAAAAUUUUGAAGUAUAGAUAGUGGAAGUUUCAUACAUCAAUAGGAAAUAUUUUACAUUUUUCAUUGAAGUUAGGCCUUUUGAUUCCUGAAAGCCAUGUCAUUCUGCAAUCCCCUUCCAUUUUGAGAUCCUUACUUGAAACUGUCUGGCCACCAUUAGAACUUUAGACAUUUUGUUUUAUCGACUGAUAGAGUCAAGGUAAGGGGAGAUCG
rnacentral:lncRNA from 1 species